rnacentral:lncRNA from 1 species
UUCUCUCUUGUUUUUCUUCUUCUUUCUUUCUUAGUCAACAUUGCUUCUUCCGCUGAUUCUCCGGCUCCGACUCCGGCAACGAAUUCAUCGCUAAAUUCUCCUUCUCCGACUCCGAUUCCGACUCCUUCUCCGGCAAAUUCACCUCCAGCGCCAACUCCAACUCCAACUCCGUCUCCUCAUUCCGAUUCACCACCAGCACCUUCACCAGAUAAUUCUCCUUCUUCUUCUCCUUCACCUUCACCUUCAUCAUCUCCAGCGCCAUCGCCUGAUGAAGCGGCGGAUAACAACGCAAUUAGCCACACCGGAAUCGGCGAAGACGGGAAAUCGUCCGGCGGAGGAAUGAGUUCCGGCAAGAAAGCGGGAAUAGCGGUUGGAGUGAUUGCGGCGGUAGGUGUGGUUGCAUUGGGAGCGAUGGUGGUGAAGAAGCGUAGACAGAAUAUUCAGAGAUCUGAGUAUGGAUACACAGCAAGAAGAGAACUUCUGUAAAAGAUUCGAUUUGAAUGUAUGAGUUUAUGCCAAAGAUUAUACAAUUUAUUAGAAGUAAUUAGCAUUCAUUCGUAUACUGUUCUAGAUUUUUGUUUGAUUCUUCGAUUUGAUAAUGAUUUUUUUGCAAUAAUCUCUUGAUAAUUGGGAUAGAGUUUGAAGAUUUGAUAUUGUUAUCAUUUUAAGAUCUUGAAAAUUUGUCCAUUUUAGUCAACUAUAGUCAUGAAUCUUAAAUUACUCUGGAUCCCUUAUAAAAUUUUGUGUAUUCAAUGUAUUAAAUUGAUAAUUAAAAUAUUAUUAUUUUCUUAAAUAAUAAUAAUUUCUUAAUUAGGGAAAUGUUAAUGAAUAUUUUUGGAGCAUUCGUCCAAGAUUAUAUUUCUACCAUUAACAUGAAAUUAAUUGAAUUUAUUUUUUUGAAGGGAAAAUUAAUUUUGAAUUUUAUUAGAAGUCAAAUGUCACAUCCAUACCUAAAAAGUCAAAUGCAACACAAUGAAGGGAACUAUAUUUAAUGUGAGAUGAUUUACCACAUAGUAAUCUCAUUGCAUUAAUUCUUGUAAAAGAAAAAGUCUCACAUGUAUUUAACUUUCUAAAAAAGAAAAACUGAUUCUAUUUAAAAGUAAUUGUAUAAAAAAAGUUGCGAAGUAAUUCAAUUUUUUUUGUCUAGUAACCUAGUGGCGGUAGCUCACACAAUUAAAAGUGGAGAAGUGGGGUGUCCGAUGUUCGAACCACGGCUUUUGCAUAAAUUAUGCAAUAUUCCUACCAACUAAGCUAAGCUCAUGAUGCCAAUGCAAUGCAUGCCCUUAACCUAAUUGCCCAUUUACAAGCAUUUGAAAAAUAAUUUUUUUCCAAAUAUAAUUGCAAUGCCUACCCCUUCAAAUUACCAAGUGCGUUUAUUAAUUUUUUCCGUCCAUUAUUCAAAUUAAUACUAGUAUUCAAAUAUAAAAUUUCAACAUAAAUGAUAAAUUAGUUGUAAUAUCACAAAAUAGAUGCAUGAACUACACCACCAAUAGUGUGCUAAGCAGAAUUCAACCUAGAUGCUCCCUCAAAUAAUUCAUUGGUUGCAUGUGAUUGUCAAAAUUGAAAAAUGUGAAUGUUAACCGGUGCUUCCGGAGUCUAGUUAAGGAAGUAAAUAUAGUAUUUUUUCCGUUUUAAAAUGAGUGUUGUUUUAGGUGUUCACAUACGUAUUAAGAAAUACAAUGAUUAAAAGAAAGAGAAUGAUUAUUUUACCAAAUUAUCCUUAUUAAUUAUUGGUUAGUUUUAAAAGUAAUACUUUGGAAGUAGUGUGCAGAGUAUUAAUUGGAGGAUACAAUUGAAAAGAAAAAGUUAUUAUUGCAUUGGAAACUGAAAGUAACAUUCAUUUUAACUAAAGCGACACUCAUUUUAAACGGAGGAGUAGUUUUUGUAUUGGAAAUUGUGUAAUCAAUUUCUCAAAAGUAAAAAAACGUUACUUUUAAUUCAAAUUUCCAUUUUUUAAAUUUCUUAACCAGUGCCCCGGAACAUCGGUUAAUAGGACCAUUAUAUAAUUACUUUUAUCUCUUACAAAAUUGAAUUUAAACAUGCAUGUGAUUGAGAUUGUUCAAGUUACACGUGGUCAUUAAUACAUAGGGGCAAAGCAAAGUACUCUCUACUGCCUGCCUCUCUGGUUGGUCGGUAUCCAUAAUGCAGUUGCUUGCAGAGUCUACUGACCCAGCUUUAUUUGGUAGUUGUGUUGAAAUUCAAUUCAUUCUGAAACAUGUGGUAAUUGUCAAGAAUAGAACGGUGUAUUUUUUGUUUCAAUUUUGGAUGGAUUAUAAUUAUUUUAAAGAUGUAUAAUUAUUCUCUAAAAAGAAUUGGUUUUACCUUUAAAUUUUGUUCUAAUUUCAAAUCUAUUAUUUAACACUCAUUUUUACAUGAAUGUAUCUAAAAAUAAUCUUCUCUUUCAACUCAACCCACUUUUCACUAAAAUCAAUUUUACAAAAUAAAUUGUUUUAAAAUCAAACUUUACCACCACAUUUAAGAUAGGGGAAAUGCUAACUUGGUUAAAGUUUUAAAAUAAGUAAGUUUGCAUCGAAAAAUGGUGUAAUCAUUGCUAAGAAAAAGUAAAAAUUUGUAUUUCCAAGAUAAAAUUACUAUUAAUGGAAUCCUUAAGCAUUGACCUUAAGACAUCGGUUAACAAGACCCUUAAGAUAUACACGCACUUAUCGAGCAUAACACGACAGUGAUCAUUGGCCAAUCAAACGAACUGUCCUUUUGAAAACAAGUUAUUCCCUCCCUUGUGUUUGUGUACUUUCUUGAAGACAAAAUUAGGUUCUGCCACGGGAUUGAGAUGACACUUACUCCUGCAACAGCUUCUUUUAAAUUUUAAGGUUGUAUUUGUAAUAAUUUCAAAAACAUUGACCAUCAAUCCAAAGAGUAUGUAAAAACAUCGAAGGAAGAUGGUUAGAGAGACACAUAGAAUCCCUUAACUAUUUGAUCAUAAAUUCAAUUCUAAUCAGAGAGUAUGUAAAAACAUAUACUUAGAGAGGUAUUUAUAUAGAUUUCAAUAACUUCAAGAGAUUAAUUUUUACAAUUGUAUGCGAAUAAUACUUUAGCUUAAACAAAACCAAACAAACAAGGAGAUGAGUAACAAACACUAGUUGAAAACAAAAUUAAUGUUUAAAGUCAUUAUAAUCAAAUCAGCUUUACAAAAAGUUAGAAUAUAAUUUUGUUUCUUUCUAGAAAUAGAAAAUAACGUCUGAUAUUUAACAAACUAUUAAACAAGUAACAUGCUUCUUUAAUCAUAUAGAGAUGAGAUGGGCUCUAUUAAAAGUAAACUUUUGACAAACAAGUAACAUAAUUCAUGAUGUACAAGUAACAUGAUAAAGCAUCCAAAUCCUGUGGUUUCCUUAUGUGCCUAAGAUGUCACAAUAAAUACAGCAGUAGUCCACUAAUUCAUAAUGAACUUUUGCCAACCAAAUGUAUUUUAUCAACCGUAGCACAAGUUCUAUAAUUUUCAUUUACUAAGAUAAAUAAAUAAGAUAAUUAUCACUUAGUAACAUGUUAGGUUCUCAAAAAACCUAAUUUCACUAUUACAUAAUAUAAUGAGCUUUUAAAAUACAUGACACAAAGCUUAGUGCAACUCAUACAUGUGUCUGUUUCGAACAUUGUCAAAUGUAGGUUCAUGCACCCCCAAAGAUCUUGUGGCAUAACUUAUACACAUUUCAUGGAAAGAAAUUAGCUUGGAGAUAUUAUCUCUCAUGACCAAGCGAAAGAAUUGAUUUUUGUAAGCGAAAAAAUUACGCCUAGAACAUGGCACUGCAAAUGGAUCACAAGAAUCACAAAUAUUAUAAGUAGUCACACUUCCUCAACAAAAGCAUGCUUCUCCAAGAUGGCAACUGUCUCUUCCUUCGCGCUGCAAAUUGAAGGCGAACAAGGACACAAUCAAUGCAUUUUUAUGAAACAGAAAAUUCAUAAACUGUUUCUUCCAAACAAGUAACCUAAGUUAUCUAUCGUAUGGACCCAUAAAAGUAAACAAUCACUUUGGUCCUGAAUGUAUGAAGCGUUGUCAUUAUAGUCCUUGAAUGCACUCAAAUUGCAAACACAUCCACGCGUAUCUCUUUUACUAGUCAUUGUGGUCAUCAAGUAUGUUUUUAGGUAGUCAAUUUAAUCCUUUUUUAUUUAAACGGCAAAUUUUAUUCGCCGACGAGAGAGGUGUAAGACAAACCUACAACACAUGGAAAAAACAAAGAAAACAACCAAAAGGCGCACCGUAUAUAUGCGGCACCCCAAAACGCCAAAGGCACCAAAUCAUGAUGCCGGAGUAUACGCCAAGUGACCAAAACAACACAGUCACGCCCAGCAGAAAACCGCGACAGAGGCAACUGCUAGGGGGCGAAUACCCCUGCAUCACAACCAAAAACAGGAACACAACUACUGCGCCAGAAACUACAGCAGCACAGCACCCUCCAAAUCACAUACCAGACCCAAAAUGACAGCAGAAAACCCCAAAAAACCGCAGACUAUUUGCAAUUAUGAACCUGCCAGCACCGCAAGCAGAACUGGUGGAACAGAACAGCAGAAAAAUCUGCUGUCAUGACAGCAAACAGCAGCAUACACCAGCAUCACCAUCCACACUUCAGCAACCAGAAAAACGCACCAUUACCGCAGCAGACAGUCUUGCGGGUUCCAAGUCCAUUCGUAGAACAUACACGCCGGCAAGUUUAAACGGUUCAGCACCUACCUCCAAGCUAACACCUUGAUAGCCUCGACCACUUCUUUAAUCGCACAAGAAGAGUUAUUGAAAAUCAAGUCAUUUCUAACUCGCCAAAUUGUCCAAAUAGCCGCAUGCCAGAUAAUCCAGUACCCCUUACGAAUCUUCUUAUUCCCCGACAACUCAUUCCACCACUUCCAAUGCACAAAUAGAUCCGGUGGUGUGUGAUAAACAAAGCCUAGCCACCUCAAAAUACCAGCCCAAACCUCUCUCACCAUAACACAAUUAAGGAAUAAGUGAUCAGACGCUUCCGGCACCCCUUUACGCAUCACACAGUUAACCGAAGAAUCCGGCGGUAAGACCUUCCUUCUAGAGAGAUUAACUCUAGUCGGAAUCCUAUCACGUUAAUCCUUCACACAUCACACAGUUAAUCCUUGAAUGUGUUUUUCGUUGAUUAAUCCAUAAAAUUACUAACAAAAGAGGAACUAGGGAUGUGUUUGCAAUUUCAAUACGUUUAGGGACCAUAGUGACAACGCCUCAAACAUUCAGGGACCAAAAUGGUUGUUUUCUUUAUAAUUAUUUCAAAGGCUUCAAAACCGUGUUUCAUAUGCAUUUUGCACAGAUAAGGUAACCCAAGUGGGAGAUGAAUCUAGUAUCAUUCAUUUUUAGAUAUCCAUGGUGAAAUAUUAGAACAAAAUCUCACAAUUACCACCAUCCUAUAUUAGAUAUAUGAAGAUCAUGUAAAAGAAAUGUAUUUUAGCAUCUGCAUCAGACAUAUCAGUACAAUCCAUUCUUUAAACAAUGCGGCAAAGAUAAGUGUAGAGAGGUUACCUUCCAGGUCUAAGUAUCUUGUAUUUGUAUGGUGUACUGAGAUCCACUACAGUUGAACCUGCACGACCGGAUGGAAGCAAACCACCAUCAUAAACAGAAGCACAAUGCUCCCAUAGUUUUUCAAAAUCUUUGAUGCAAACACUACUUGGUUGUCCACUUAGGUUUGCACUGGUAAGGGCCAAAGCAGUUCCUGAACCACGGGCAAUGAGCCUAAUGAAAUUGCAAUCUGGCACUCUAACUCCUAUACUAUCGAAUCCUGGGUUCAGAGAUCGUUCAAGAGCACUUGACUCACCUGUAACAUUCAAGCAUACAAUCAUAUAUUUCACAGAAUCUUUACAAUGAAAUCAAAGGUUCACAUAAGAAAUGUUGUACGAAGGGAUUGAAGAAAUAGGAUUAUUGUUGCUUUAAACAAGUUCUGUGAAUUAAUUGAUUUAAAUGUAUGCUUUCCACAUACUUUUCCAUAAAUUCAUUUUCCAUUACACUCACACACAAAACGACAUAUGGCAUACAAACCUCGACUUAGUACAACUGUGACAGGCCCUGGUAGUAGGGAAUCAAGCAAACCAUGAGGUAAAUGAUCAGUGAGGGCAAAGCGAUUUAUGUCUGAUACAUCCCCAACACAAAUAGCUAGUGGGCUUGUAUGUUUACGACCUUUAAUCUCAUAAAUCCUGUUAACCGCUUCCAAUGAGCUGCCAACAUGUUCCAAAGGUAACAAGCAAUUAUUAAUCAUUCAGAAAGCAAUUGAAUCAUAAUAGGUCUAAAUAUAUGGAGACUAUGAAGUGCAAAUGAGAUUUUAAAAGUACUGGUUAAUCACAUACAAGUGAGACUCGCUUUAUAUUCAAUUACUGAAAUUUAUUUUGCAAAUCACUUGGUUGAUAGUUUGCUGGAAAAUAGUAUAUUCAUCCUAAACCAUCCUAAAUGGUUUAAUAAACAAUUUAAUUUCAGAUAAGUCUUGAAAAAUGCAGGGAAAAAAGAUCAUUUGAAAGCCUCCAUUGACCUUUAUAUCCUUAAAUCCCAAAGGAUGAAACACGCAAAGUUCCGGUAUAUAACUGUCUUAGUGCCAUUAUUUCAAAGCCCCUGUUUAUCGAGCAGAGUUGCUUAAAAUGUGUGGCUAAGUUUGGAUUCACUAACCUCAAUCAAGGAAAAACAUUAGUUUAAAGAGAUUCUUAACUACACUAUAAAAUCAUCUUUCAGCAGCAAACAUUUUCUCUUGUAUACACUGAUGCUUUUGAAAGGUUUGUUAACAAAAUCGGCAGAUGGCUCAACAAUUGAUUUCCCCAACUCUUCCUACAUGGUGCCGCAGAGCUUUUAAAUAAAAACUAAAUUUGAGAAAUCUAUAGGUUGAUGCUUGUUGGUGUCCAAUAGCAGUCUACAGCACAACUAUACCAACAGUAAGUAAUGAAACUUUGCAUAGCUUUUCUUCUGCCCUAUAUCACACAUCACUGCUGUCUUGUUUAAGUUUUUAGUAAUUUCAAAUAUCGCUUAUUCAAAUAUCUUUAUUACUCUAAUGCCAUUUAAGUUUCCAUGCUACUAUUCCCACCCAAAUAACUAAGCAUUUUGACAAUGCAAUUAACUUUCUACUCAUUGUUUUAUCGAAUGCUAUGAUGUAGUUCAGCCUACUUGCUUAGUUCUCCCAACCAUAUCAAUAGUACACUACAUCUUAAGGCACGGCUCUUCUUCUCUCUGCCAAUUUAUUUUCCUUUCAACUGCAUGCCAAAAUUGGUUAAUGUGGUCAAGCAUUAUAGGCAUUUAGUUUGAAGAGUAUCGAGUAUUUCAAUAACUUUUCAAUAGAAUGCAAAAUGGGUUAUUAACUAGGAAAAUGAAAGUGUACUGCAAUAUCCGCUUCACCUGUUUAAUUCAUUCUCAAACCAGUGUUUAAUUUUAUCAUUUCAGUUGCAGAUUCUAAGCUAAAUUGUUUUCAGUUUCAGAUUCUAAGCUAAGGUUCAUUUAGUUAUUAUAUAGAGUUAUUUUAGGUGCUUGAUAGGUAUAUGAUUUCGUAUUAAUUUAAAUCACAUUGUGUUUAUAAAAUGCAUAUAUAAUAGGAAGCAUGUUAAAAGAGUCAUAAACAACUCCAACGCUAUAUAGGCAAUAAAUUUUAAGCACAAAUUAAAAUUAAAAUAGCAUACAUACCAAGCAUCACAAGCAAAUCCAUACAAUGUAUCAGUGGGAACUGCAAUGACCUUCCCAGCUUUCAAAGUUUCAACUGCCUCUGCAGCAUAAGCAUCUGUUGCUGGAUGAACCACACCAGUCUUAACAUCAAGACCCAAGUCACAUCUUUCCAUACUCCAAGCCAUGUUUUUGGAAAAACCCCUUCUAAUUCUUUGAUUUUGAUUCUGCGGCAAACUUCGAACACACGCCAACUUACACACCCCUGAAAUACAAGUACAAUUGGUUCAGUCAACAAAAAACAACAAUAACAGUAAUAAUAUCAAGAAUUAACAACGACCCAUAUCAAAUUUCAACGUUUUUAUUGUUGAAUAUCAUGAAAGGAAGGAUUUUUAACGAUGAAAUUGAAGUGGGCAUACGUAAAAAAAGUAAGAAUAUUCCAAAUUUGGUGAAUUUGGAAUGACACACCAAGUGUUUGAUAAAAUGUUGAUAAGAAAGAGAAGAAGUAGAAAGAGAAUAAGAGACUGACAGUGGUUGUGUGACUAAAGUGCACCUCGUAAGAAGGAAGUGUUGACUAGAAACCGUCCUUGUUGUAUGGAAUUGGAUAUGUUCAUCAUCAACCGUGUUCACAGCUGCCUUGUGCUUUUCCUGAUUUGGGUUGUUUAAUGUUUCGGAUAAAUUCGGUGUUUUAGAAAUUAUUUAUUAUUGGAGGGAUAAAAAAGUAUAAACUCCUCCGAUUUCAGUAAUUUUUUUUCAAGUUAACAAGUAAGAAAAAUCGAAUAUACCAAAUAGAAUCGAGAAGAUAGAGGCCGAAGAUGCAAGCAAAAAUCAAAUGCAAGAUAUGAAGUAGUAAGGGAAGAAAAAUAGUUAAGUCAGGGAUGGAUUAAGAAGAUUUUAAAACUUGGCCCCACAUAGGUGCCACGUCAGAGAAAACCAAGUCAAAAUUGAUCUUUUGGGUCAAAACUGCCAAAGAUUCAAUAUAUAGGAGGCUGUUUUGUAUUUUAAUUAAUUAGGGGUCAAAAAUCGCAAUUUCUGAAAAGAUAGGGGCCAAAAGUGCAAUUAAGCCUUUUUAAAAUUGAUGCUUACUUGUGUGUCAUUUGGAGGAGUUUUUAUUUCCUCUUAAAAGGUAAUAGCGGUUUUCGCCUCCUAACUUUCACGAAGUUGCAACUACAAAACUGUCCCUAAGUUUUGCAACUGUAGCAGUUUUGGCCCUCCAAAACCAAUUUUUGGUAAAUAAAAUAAAAAAAUAACACGUGACACCCCACUUAGAGUGUCAUGUCAGCGUAGACCGAGUUAAAAUUGAUUUUGGGGGCCAAAACUACCAAAGAUGCAAAACUUAGGAGGCGGUUUUGUAGUUUUUUUUAGGGGGUCAAAAUCGCAACUUUGAAAAAGUUAGGGGGCUAAAAUUGCUAUUAAGAAAAGAAAAAAAAACUAUUUUAAUUUUAAACGAAUUUUGAUGGUGCAAAAUAGAUGAUAUAAAUGUUCAAAAUUUGCUCAAAUUAUAAAAGGUGAAGGUACCUUAAUUUUGAAAGUUGAUGUCAUAAAUGUCUAAAUCAAUCUUCAAAUUAUAAAGUUGAAUCUGAAGUUUUUUUUACAAGGUUAAAGUAAAACUCACUCAAAUAAUGGAUGAUAUACGCCAUUAAACUAAGUCAUUCUUAUGAACAUUACUAUGAUUUUUUUUUAUUGGAAUAAUAUCGAAAUAGAUCUUUGGUUCAACAGUGGGAUAAAAUGAAUUUUGAAAGUGUUUUGUGUUUGGUUCAUAGAGAGAAGAGGUUUUAAAUUUUUUUUUUUUUUAAAGAUGAUUUUAAUUUUUAAAAGAAAAUGAUAAAAUGCCAUUUUACACCUUUAUCGUAUUUAAUAUCAAUCAAUUAAAUAAAAAGAUAUUUGUCCCGUGCUUAACUCAGUUGGUAAAGACCUUGCAUAUAUCCUUGCAUAAUAUAUGCAAGGUCCCGGGCUCGAAUCUCGACCACCACAAAAAAAAAAAAAAAAAAGACAUUUAAAUCAAAAUAUAAAACCAAUCUUCUCUUCCCUCCAAAUCCUCCCAUUUUGAAGGGGAGCAGUUUAUAGGGAAUUUGAUCCCCUCCUUUUCCCUCUCCUAUCUUCCAAAUAUAGUAUACACUAGGACUACACAUAAAGCACAACAAAUGCUUACAGCAGUGGCAGAAAAAUGCUUAAAGCAAUUAUUUUAAUUCAAAGAAACUUAUCAUAUUCUGCUUUUCUGGUCCACAUUCAUUCGUGUAACAAAAAACAAACCAAUUUGUCACUAUGGAUUGCAGACACGAAUAUUUUAUUCUUCCCAAAGUAAAAGGAAAAGCAUAGCAGAUAAAGUUUACAGCACAAUUCAGUGUCAGCUUGAAUAGAAAGCAAUCUUCUUUAUCUUUGUGAUAUAAUAUGGCAAACACUAUGUGUCACAUAUGUUAGGCAAUGGUCUUGUCAUCAAUGAAACGCAGCACAAAACAACACCAAAUACGAUACUGACAAGUGACAAGCAAACACUUAUAAUAAUAUAAUAGUGUGUUUGGUUUUGCUUUUCUUCACCGCAUUUUUGCCGUGAUUUUGAGAAGCUAGUAUUUGUAGCUUCAAAUGAAAAUCUCAUUGUGUAACUAAACGAAGGUUAAAGAAAUAUAAGUGAUUUAAUGCAAUUACAUUUGUCGGUAACUUAUCGCUAUUAAACACAGAAACACCUUCCUGUAAGUAAAGUACAUAUUGCAUCCGAAUAAUUAAAUUGUAACGAGUUAUAAUUUUCAGUGAUUCCUCCAUUAGCAGCACUCCAAAUUGAAGAUGUGGAAAAUCUGCUCUAGUCCUAGAAAAUAGAACGAAAUACAUCUCCAUGUAAGUAAAGUAACUACAUAUUGCAUUUGGCAAUGCUCAUCAAUGAUCAAACUCUAACACAACUUAACAAACACAUUUCCUCAACCCUUCACUCUCACUUUGACCUAAAGCAAAAUCAUUUUGUCUCCCAAGCCUACAAAAAAGAAAGCCAAAAACCCUUCUGGUUUUCAUGUGCUGAAAUAUUCAUCAGUAACUAUGCACAAACACUCCUUGGAUUAGACGUGUCCCGGUGUCGGACACGUGUCACGUCCGAGACCAACACGAUACCGGCACAUAAUUUCACUGAAUUAUGUGAUUUUAUCAAAUUAUUUGCAGUGUCAGUGUCCGUGUCGUGUCCAAUGUCCGUGUCUGUAUCCGUGCUUAAUAGAUCAGUACAAAUAAGCAAACAGAAAUUCCAUAGCCAGAGAAGCUAUAUUCAUAAGCUGUACAAUGAAGUCCCAUAUAGAUGUGUGAUAAAAGUUAACUUCCCCCUACCCUAUACACAAAAAGUUCUGCAGCCACUAGCUUUGUCAUAAGAUGCAAAAAACUAUCAAUUCAGUUUUGAUUUGAGUCUUGUUGAUUUUGCACUACAGAUUGAUUGUGGUUGGAUUGGCCUGAGCGUGGCGUGGUUACUGUUCGAGGUUGCUGUCCUGCUUGUGUCAUCGGUAGAGGGCCAUGUUGUUGCUCUAAUGAAGCCUGCCAUCUCCUUCUCCAUCUAAAAAACUCAACAAGCAUAGAACUUCCACUCAUUACUACGCCAAAACCAGCAAAUGUUGCAAGAAGGAUUGACAGAACUGCUUGCACAUGAACCUGCAAGUGACAGACAUCAUAAAAAAUCAGAAAUCAGGAUGCUAAUGCUUCUCUAUGUAGGGCUUUUUCUCAAGUGAAAAGUAGAUGUAAGUUUAGAUACUCAUUCAUUAGAAUGAAUCGGGAUUCGUCAGAUUGAAUUAGGAUUCAAGAUGAGCAUUAUCGAUCCUUUUCUCAAAUGAAAAGUACAAGUAAUAAGAAUAUAGUUUGCAUAGAAAGCGGUUACCAAGGAGUAAAAUAUAUGCGCGAAGAGAACCACCAGAGCAAACUGGAAGGAUGCAUAAAUCCAUAUGAACCUGCUCAUCACUGGACACAAAUUUAAAGAAAAUAAUGUCAGGGUUGUUGCAUAAAUGAGUGAAACUCAACUUAGCAUUAGCUCGGAUUCAAUUUAGUAUUGAAUCGAGAUACAACUUGCACGUAUUGUAAGAUAAUGGAUGAUGAAUCCAUUACACACGUGACAAACUGACUUUGAUUGAUCCACUAUUAUAAAUUCAAGAUGGAUGAUGAGUUCUCUUAAAAAGUAUAUUGAUAAUAUUUAUCAAUGUCGUUGCAAACCUACCCAUGGUUGAAGAUGUCAUGGAGGAGAGCAGACCUAAUACACAGGAAAAUGGAAGAGAUAUGGCAAUUGCACCAGUUCCCAUUUUCGUCACCUAUAAAAAAGAGAAAAUCAGAAGCUAUUUGGUAUUCAAUAAUUUAGAGAUUUUUAAGAAAAGCAGAAGCUAUUUUUUGUACUAGACUUCUAAGAAAAUUAUUAAGAAAAUUUGACAGUUCAUUGUUAGAGAAUUGUUUUUCUUACCAACAGUUGCUCAAGAAAACAAAAAUAGGCCAACAUGCUAACAAUGACGAGCACUGGAACUUCCUGCCAAACCCUAUAAAAUUGAGCAGACAAAUAAAAUGGUUCAUGAUUCUUGAAGAUUUUAUGAUAUUCACGAAGCUCCUAAUCGAAGAAUAUAUGCAUGACUCACUCAUUCAUUCGAAAUCAGAAAAAAUCUUUAUUGGAUUUGGGAUGUGUGCAGUCACAACCCCGUGACUGGACACAGUCAGCCACAUCUGGAUCAGACAGUCAAAAAUCUAAAAUACCGAACUUGAAGUCUGAUCAGACGAUCCAGAUGUGGCUGACUGCGUGCAGUUACACAGAACACAAGCCAAAUCCAUCUUUAUCAUACAAAACUAGUAUAAACUUUUCUAAAACAAAAGUCGACAUGCCUGUACCCGUUUACAUCUUCAAGCUGAGCUCGACUUAAUCCACCAUUCCGAUUUCGAACACUUUNNNNNNNNNNNNNNNNNNNNNNNNNNNNNNNNNNNNNNNNNNNNNNNNNNNNNNNNNNNNNNNNNNNNNNNNNNNNNNNNNNNNNNNNNNNNNNNNNNNNGGAUCCCAGAAAUAGCUUCUGAACUUGGCAUAAAAUCUGUUUACUUCUCGGUCUACUCAGCCAUUUCAGCUUCUUACUUAUGUCCAUCUUCAAGACUUGAUGAUACUAAAGGAAGAGACAUCACUUAUGAGGACUUUAAAAAUCCCCCACUUGGGUAUUUUCCAAAUUCCAAGCUUUCCCUUCAAACCUUCCAAGCCAAAAAUAUCUUCAUAGCACUCUUCCAAAGAUUUAACUUUCAUAAAGUCAUGCAAAACUUUAGUGAAAGCUCACUAAUAGUGUUCAAAAGUUGUAAGGAAAUGGAAGGUCCUUAUCUAGAUUAUUUACAAAACCAAUUUGAAAAACCGAUUCUUUUUUCUGGAGUACUUGUUCCAGAGCCAUCAAUGGACGUGCUUGAGGAAAAAUGGACAAAAUGGUUAGAUAAUUUCCCAACCAAGUCAGUGAUAUUGUGUUCCUUCGGUAGUGAAACAUUUCUAAGUGACGAUCAAAUCAAUGAACUAGCAAUUGGGUUAGAACUAACAAAUUUACCCUUCAUUUUAGUCUUAAAUUUUCCAUCAAAUCUCAAUGCUGAAUCUGAGUUGGAGAGAGCAUUACCAAAAGGGUUCUUAGAAAGAGUGAAGAAUAGGGGAAUUGUGCAUAGUGGUUGGCUGCAACAACAACUUGUAUUGAAGCACUCAAGUGUUGGGUGUUAUGUGUGUCAUGCUGGUUUUAGUUCUGUGAUAGAAGCUAUAGUUAAUGAUUGUCAGUUGGUGUUGCUACCUUUCAAGGGUGAUCAGUUUUUAAAUUCUAAACUCAUUGCUGAUGAUUUGAAGGCUGGGGUAGAGGUGAAUAGGAAAGAUGAAGAUGGAUUUUUUGAGAAAGAGGGAUUGUUUGAGGCUGUGAAAACUGUUAUGGUGGAAGUUGAUAAAGAGCCAGGGAAACAGAUAAGAGAAAAUCAUAUGAAAUGGAGGGAGUUUCUAUUGGAUAAGAAAAUUCAGAACAAAUUCAUCACAGAUCUGAUUGCGCGGUUGAAGUCUUUGGCUUAGUGAACGUUGGGAAUGAUGGUGAAUAUGGUAGAAUCAUGUAUGUCAUUGUGAUUUUGACAAAAACUAUGCUUUAAUGCAUUUAACAAAAUCAAAAUGUCACUAUGAUUUCGUCAAACCCACUGUGAUACUAAACAAACACUUUGUCCACUCAUUGCCAUUGGAAAAUAAAGUUUGCUAAAGACUUGAUUAGCUUUAAGAGUUUUUAUUUUUUCCUUUUUAAGUAAUUGGAUAGGAUGUGUUAGAUAUUAUUGUGUCUGAAAAUCAGUCCUUUAUUGACUGAUUGUAAUGUAUUUAUCGUUAUAAUCUGUGUUCGAUUUUGUGGUAGUCGGAAUUGAUUUUGAUUGAGGAAUUCAUAACAUGUUUAAUCUUACCUUGUAUUUUGCUGCAAAAAAGAAUACAAAAAAUAAAAAACAUCAGAGCCUCACUUUAGAUUGUUUUAUGACAGCCUACUUGAGACACUGUUACGCACGCACACAUAUUCGUGUAUCAAAUUAAUAAUUUUGACACAGAUGAAAUUUCAAGGGAAUCAGUUGAAUCCAUGCAUUAAGCACAUUCACAGGUAGUUUCUGGAGAAGAAACUACUUGUCAGCCUUGCUUGCAAUGUUGGCUGAUCUACACACGGGGAAAGCGCUAAGGGUUCAUCCCCAAGUACACAAGCCCAAUUAAGGUUCCAGAUCAGAAAGAGGGAGUUACCAUAGCGCAUGGGUGUAAAAAACUCCUGGUCAUUUGCUAUCUGUGAAUUUGGAUUCGAUGCAGUCACAGGUUCUAGCAAUAACGCAGCCAGCCAUACCAGUGGCCAUUGGAUUGAUAUUGGACGGUAUAGAUUUCAAACAGUUGUGUUUUGUUUAAAAACUAAAGAAACUAAGUUUAAAAUUGCACUUUUCAAUCUCGAGUCUCGACCCAAUGUUUAUCGAUGUGGCUGACAUUUAGAAUGCAGAAAAUCUGCAACUCAAAGGGAUCUGAACUCUAUUUCUGCUUGUUCAAAAGGAAGAGCUUGUAGAUACAAUGAUAAAAUCUUGUGGCACACCGUACACCACCUAUAAGUUUACGUAUUGUAGAAUUUGCCUUUCAAUAAUUGAAUUUCAAAAGAGAAAUGUUUCUUUUUCUUUGUUUCCCGUAGGUUCCUUAACCGCAGAUAAUCCUAUUCGAGACAAUGUCAGACACUAAAUGCAGACACCACUUUUAGUUGGGAUUCGACUUUGAUUUGCCACGCUGUGGAAGUCUAGUCCCUUCCACUAUACCAAACUCUCGUUGGUAAAAGGAAAUUGUUUCUAAUUGAUAGUUAUUUGAAACAAAACGUAAGACAAUAUUGAAGUGCCCUAUAUUUUAUCUAUUCUCCUAAGUGGUCAAUUUCUACGCAAUUUCAAAAAUAAUGCUUUAUUCAUAACGUAGCUUUCCCUCUACAACUUGAACCUCGGAACUGCUAAAACUCCAAAGCUAAAGAAUCAUAUAUUAGUACAAUGCUGACGAGUGAAUCAUUUAUUGGUUUUUAUUGACAACAAGUAACAAUAGUACUAACAUUCAGAGUUCGGUAGAGCUUUAAGGAAGAAAAAUCAGGUAUUUUGAUGCAUAUAUUGAAAGUACAUAUGAGUGGUGCAGACAACAUUACAUCUGUAAGCACGGCUGGUGCACACAACCGUUCGACAAACAAUUUAGCAUGUGAAGUUAAUUAAAAAUGAAAAUUACUGCAUGUUCUGAUAUCACAAUCACACAAAAAUUCAUAACAACAUUUCUACCAUCCACGAGAGCUGAGAGACUUUAUCAAAGGUCCAAAUGUCUGAUCCACAGUUUUGUUCCAUGAAUGUGCAAAUUCAGAGCGUGAUUUCUUCCCAAAUAUGGGUUCUCUAACCUGGUGAAACAUGACAGCGAAAGGUCAGAAUCUAAAAGUAACAAUUAAACAUGAAAUUCGUAAGACAGUGGUGAGUGAUGAUGCUGAUAGAAUGAAUGCCCAGUAUUUCAAAUGCAAAGUUACUCAAGCCUGUGGACUCCGAAAAUAUAAUAUCAAUGGAACACAUUGACAUUCAAAGUUAUUGAAAGAAAGGAGUAUUAAGUUAGGUGUUGAGCCUAUGCAACUUCGGCACUCUUCAAGGUGCAUUCGGUGUUUGACAUGUUUCAGUGACCAACACAACUCUAACGCAUGUGGUUACAUUCAAUCACUUCUACAUUUGCAAAUUAUAGGUGCCUAUGUGUCACAUGUUGUGCCCACAGCCCCACACACUCUUCAUGUUUGUGUCAGCGUCAGUGCUUCAAAGGUUUGUGGCUUUGUGCUAGUUAGGAUAAACUUUUCCAUAACACUUCUGCACCUCAAGUUUUAAAACGGUCUCUCAUUUGGCUUCUUCAUUAACACUUAUCAACUUAUUUAGAUGCUAAAUGCUUAUUUCUUCUAUUAUUAGUCAAAGGCUGACUCAAUGGCCACAUAUGGGGAAAUGAGUAUCAGGAAUGCAGUGAAUGCAGGUCCGAACCCGCACACCGACUAUUAGUGUCUUUAUCACCUACCAACUGAGCUGCACGCACAAGACAACUAAAUGCUUAUUUCAGUUUUAAAACUCCUAUAAGUUAGAAACAAAUCCAUAUUUGGCAUUCAUCUAUUUCCAGUAUAAUUGUAUGUUCAGCCACCUAUAAAAACAAAUUAUGCUAUUUUUCAAUGCAUAUAACAUAAGUGGCAGCUUCAUUCAAGAACAAACUCAAUUAUCUGCCCUUCACCUUACAAUUCAUUAUAAUCCAGCCUUAGAAAACUUUAGAUCGUGCACAAAGACAAAAGCUUUGUUUGGAUAAACAACUUAACUAAAUGUUAAUAGUAUAAAAGUUUACCAUACAAGUGCAUAUGUAUAAACUAAUCUAUAACAUGCGACAAAAUACAACAACAAUCAAAAGCCUUAUCCCACUAAGUGGAGUCGGCGACAUGGACCAAAUGAUGAAAUAAAGUGGGAUCUAUCAUAUAUCAUAUCUCUAUCCAACUCAUUCAUCUCUAGAUCUUUCUUGAAUAGUUUCUCUUAUAGUUUUACGGGUCUUCCUCGACCUCUGGUGAUUUCACUACCCUCCAUCUAAUCUAUUCUCCUUACUAAAGAAUCUACAUGUCUUCUCUAUGCAUGUCCAAACUACCUAAGCCGAGUUUCCACCAUCUUUUCUAAAAUAAAGUCAAAUUAUUUUCAUUUAAGCUAAAUCUGUUUUCAUAAAUCCAUAAAUCCUAGCUCAACUGGAAAAAUGCAGAAUUUGUUAGGUUGGGGAUAUCCGUAGUGUCGUGGGCUCAUACCCGAAAUCUUCCAUUUGUGUAUGUGUUUCAUGUGGUAUUUGUCACUUUAUCUACAAACCAAUAAAAUUUGUUUUAAUAAACUACAGUUGAGAACUUAUGAAAAUAAGCUGAAAACAAAACAGCUUAUCAACAUGUCACAAGAACUUGUACUAGUAGAUACAAGCUCAAAUCAAAUAAGAGAAUCCAAACACGAACAACUUAAUUUCCCUCUCACACUCAAAAUCAUUCCCAAUCAACGUAUUACCAAAUACCAAAACAACAAAUUCUUCUAUUUUUCCUAAAAAUAAAUAUAGAAAAAAACAAACAUUAGAAAGCCAGAAAAAAAAAAAAAAAGGUUAGAACCUGAGAGUGAGAUUGAGAAUCGGAAAUAGAACCAUAGAUGUAUCUACGUUGAUCCCAAACAACGGCACUCGUCAAUAUCACACCCAAUGAAGCUCCCAAUAACCGCUCCUGAAACCAUUUCAACAAAUCAAAAUUCACAAAUCACUGAAAGAGAAUCGUAAAUUGAAAUUACCUGUGUGAGAAUGCUAAUCAUCGUUUCGUGUUGAUUUUUUCGGAACAAUGAAUGUUCCCUAUUUGCUUCUGGAAAACGCUUCGCUCUUCCACGACGUCGUAUCUCACAAAGGCGCUUCUACAGACUUGGGCUAUUGUUGGACUCCGAUCCUAGAAUUACCCUCUUGACCCUAGAAAAUAUUACUCCAUUUCUUUUCCACUCUAUUAUCAUUUCACGCGCCUAUUUUUCUCCGAAAAUAUUAUUUAUUCAAAUUAUAUAAAAUAAAAUAAAAAAUAUUAUGGAUUGUUUUUGUUUGAAAUGAUUUUGAGUCUUUAUACAUUUAACAAAACUUUGUUAUAUAUGAUUAUAUCAAAGAAAGUGAAUUUAUACUAACUAACAUACACAUAUAUAAUUAUAUCAAAAAAAAACAUUAUAAAUAUUUAUAUAAAAAAAUAAUUGUGAUAUACAUUUCAACUAAUCUGCCAUAAGAUCUAUGAUAGAAUCAUUAAGUCAAAGGUUUUUUCAUCUUUAAUCUCAAAUGUAUCUCCAACCUUCUUAUCAUCAGCAACCUAUUCUUGAGGCUCAAUGUUUUCAACAAUGAAUAAAUCAUCAUAUCUUAUUAUCUCAUUAUCCACCGCCCAACUUAGUUCAUUAUAAAUCAUCCUAUGGAAAUAUCUAGCAUUUGAUGACUUUGAGUCAUCUCGUUGGUGUUGUCCCCGUAGCAUGGAAGUGGCAGCAAUUGGACAAUCAUCUUUUAAAUAUAUUAUCAUAAAAUGGUUGUCAUUCACAUGUGCUAGACACAUCAUUCGGAUUUCCAUGUGAAGGUGUGUAACACCCCGUUACCCAAAAGUAAUUAAAUAUAAAAUAUACAUCAGAGUAAUUCACCAAACGGGCAUGCUACACUACAUUUCAAAAUUUCUUAAAUAGCAUAUGAAACUAUUUAAUUAAACAUCAAUCAUAACUUCAAUAAUCAUGCAGCGGAAUAUUUGCAUUCUAAAUAACAACAACAACAACAACGGUUAAAUUCUCCAAAACAAUAUCUUGGCAUAAAGCCUUAACAACAUAGUUCAUCCAUUAUAGGGCCACAACAUCAAGUUCCAAAAUAAGAUACAUAGGAAAGAAAACAAUAAUAAGAAUAUUUCUCAUCCCACGUAUCAGAGCCCUAGACACGACACUUGAGCCACCACCGACUACUCAGGAUCACCUGCAAGUUACCCAUAGGAAGGGCAACAUUUUCAAGCAGAAGGGGUGAGAUUCACAACAAUAAAAUAUAGAUAUUAAAAUCAUCAAUUGAAUCUAACACCCUAUGACAUCAAAUCAUCUUGCAAUUAUAAUUAUAUAAUUUACAAAGCAACAACUACAUCACCAUCAAUCAAUCCAUCAUAACAUAUGUAUAAAUAUGUAACCAUCAAACAACAUCAUCAUCAUCAAUAUAACAACCACAAUCAACAAUAAAGAUUCAUGCAUGACAUGACGACACCACUAAGACUCCUCAAAUAUGCAAUUAUGCAUGUGGUACCAAACAGGACCGAAGCCCUCACCGCUUUUGAAUGGUUAAAGCAUUCAUCAGGACCGAAGCCCUCACCGCUGUGAACAACUAGUGCUCCAGGACAUGAGGCAUCUCCGCUGUUUAUGCAUAUGCAAUGGACCUACUCGUGUAUAUCUACAUACAACUAGACCAUGCAUACAUCCUUCAUAUGACUCCACUUAUACAACAUGUAUGAUUCAAUAAUUAUAGCAUACAUUACAGCCAUCAGCAACAACAUCAACCAAUGAUCCAGCAAUCCAGAAUAAUGCAUAAUUAAAUAUAACUAUGUUCAAAACAACAACAUCCAUCAUCACCAUUCAUACAAUUAAAAUCAGCACUCAAAAAUUGGGUAGCUCGCCUCGCGAGCACAUCUGCUCGCUAUGGUGAGUUCACAAAAUAGGUUACUCGCCAUGGCGAGUUCAAGGCGAACUCGAGGCGAGUGAAAAAUAGGUGCUCUCGGGAGUUUUGACAUUUUCUCACUCAAACCUCAAUUCUAAGCUCUCAAUUCAUCUUUUUAAUCUAAAACUUGCUCGAGUCAUCUUUAAAAUCAUUUAGGUACAUUAAACUAUCCCCAAAACAUCUUAUAACAACAAUUUGAAAAUCAAGUUUUGAACUGGGUUGCUCACCAUGGCAAGUUGGUCUGCUCGCGAGGCGAGCUAUGAAGUUGCUCACUCGCGUGGCGAGCACAAGCUACUCGCGAGGCGAGCGAUGAACUUCUGUACGGGCAGAAAACAGGUUUUUCCCCAAAAUCCCAUUUUUCUUCAAUUCACUCCCCAAAUUAGUUUACAGAUAAGCAAUGAAGUGUUCUAUGCAACCAGAACAUAAUUCUAACACUAGAACAACAAUCUCUACCCCAAAAUCAUCAUUUCCUCACAAAACCCAAAUUUCCCAAUUCUCAACAAAACCUGUUAAACUCAAAAUCAGAAAUUAAUAGCUAUACUACUGAAGCAAACCUCACCCUUACCUUAGAAAUUGCAGAAAAUGCACAACAAAAAUGGUUCCUUGGCCUAACUUGCUCUUCUCUCCCUUUCUCCCAACUUUGACAGUUCCACGUAAAAAGCUUCUGACCUCUACUUUCCUAACUUCCCACUUACUUAACUCCCUUCUUUUCAUUUAACUCCCUUUAAUUCUAUUAAAUAUUAAAUAACUCCCCAAACUCCAAAAUAAUUAAUAUUUCUCACUUAUUCUAAUUAUUAUUAAAAUAACUAUAUAAUAAAAUAAACACACCACAUAAAUCACCAAAAAUCAUAUAUUAGACUCCACAUAAAUAAAAAAUAAAUAACACAACGAUUAGAGCGUUACAAGGUGCAUUGUGUAAAGAGAAAAAGGUUUUCGAUUGCCCUUUGUUGAUGGAUAGUAGAACCACAACAUGCUUAUAUCUAUCUGCAAUGAGAAAAUCCACAUGGGGCAUAAUCAUCCAUUUAUCUACUGGAGUUGGGUCAAUACCAUCACUGAUCAUAACGUGUCUGACCUCGUUGAAUCAUUUGUCUGACCUAAUUAAUUAGACAAAAUGCUCACUACCAUCAUCGGUCAGCUCUUUUAGAAUUUGAUAAUCAUCAACCGACAUAUCAUCUUUCAAAUAUACUAUCAUAAUAUGGUUGUCAUUCACAUGUGCUAGACACAUCAUUCGGUUUUCUAUGUGAAGGUGCACUGCGUAAAGGGAAAAAGGUUUUCGAUUGCCCUUUAUCGAUGGAUAGUAGAACCACAACAUGCUUUAUAUCUAUGUGCAAUGAGAAAACCCAGUUUGUACAUAAAUCACUCAUACUACUAUACAAAUAUUAUUUCAAUAUAUGUUUUUCGUUGUAUUUUCAAGAUAAAUGACUUGGUUGGUCUCACAAUUUUCUCCUUCACAAGUCCCAAAAUUAUAGUUUCAACAUAUUUCGAAAACAUAGGAAACUUGUCGCAUACAAUUUUGAAUCCAUUGUAAUUAUCAAGAUACACCUGCUCUAUAUCAGAAUUCAUAAUAGCAUCACAAGCAUCCAUGACCGUAUUCACUACAUAUUUGGAUUUGAUAUCUUUCCCAUCUUUAGAUUUGAGAUCUUUAACUCUGCAGUUUGUGUUAUAUUUUUCUCUAAUAUAUUUUUCGAUGUGAUACUUACACAAUAAAUUUGGGUGAAAUAGUAUCAACAACAUUCAAAGCAUUGUCUCGGCCAGUGAUAAUAAAUUUGGGUGAAAUAUCUCUAGAUUUCAAUACAUCAUGAAACCUCUCUAGAGUCCAAGUGACGUUAUCUUCCUUCUCAUACAUCAUAUAAGCAAAUGCAAUAGAGAACGUCAACUCGGUAUAAGUUACACCAACAAACUCAAGCAACGAAAGACAAUAUUUGUCGGUCUUCUUAGUGGAAUCCAACACAAGCACGGUAGAAAACGUGUUAAACAAAUUGAUGUAAUCCAGAUGUGGCCAGAAAAUAUCUCUGACAUCAUCAGAAUCAACAUACUUUCUAUUAUGAUAUACACCCUCCGGUCACUAAUAUAAGCAAAAAAACUACAUUUUAGGUUCAUUCAUUUAAUGAUGUAUGUGGUCUAUAAUAAAGACCAUGUGCAUCAUUAAAUGAAUGAACCUAAAAUAUAGUUUUUUGCUUAUAUUAAUGACCGGAGGGUGUACAUACUUAUUCUCAACCAAUGAUGACAUGAGAUUAUGCAUUCAUGAUCUCAGACCCCUAAUAGUUUUGUCUAUACUUGUGACAUGCAUUAUAAAUAUGCUUGAUAGUUGUUGCAAUUCAACUGUUUCUAUUUCUUAAUUUAGUCAGAAUAUGUGUCGGGGGAAACCAUUGAGCUUGUCAACUCACGAAGGAGUCUAUUGUCAUUUGGGUUUAGAUGUCCAACAAUUUUAUUACCUUUCAACAUUUCAGCCUUCUCAUGGUUGUAUGUUCCGUCAUCAAACUUAAUGCUUCAAUCACCUACAAUCAACAAAUCAUCUCUCACACGAAACAAACACUCACGUUUUACUGAACCAUAUAUCUUAUGCUUGGACAACUUCUUGUAUUCUGUAUAUGAACCUCCUUUUUCACAUGUCUCUAUAGCAAAUGCAUUUCUACCAUUUCCAUCAUUAUCUGAUUUUUUGACAACAAUAGAAAAUCCUAGCUUCCUUGCAUCUUCUCAAACCCACCCUAAGAACUCGUCCAAUGAUGGAAACUUUCUUGUAGUAGUAAAUUGUAUGAUGAUUAAUUGAAAGAUUAACAACUAGUGAUGGCACCUCGAUGUUGUAAUUGACAAAAGGAAUCUCAACUUUAGAUGCAACCUCCACUUUGGCAUCACCAAAAGGAAUAUCAACUAGAGGUGGAGGACCUCAAAUUUAACAUUUUCGAAAGGAUUUUCAACUAGCGGUUUGUGUGCAACAAUUUGAGGGGUAACACCUGGAGGUUAAAUCUCCACUUUCGCAUCGCCGGAAGGAUUGUCAACUAGAGGUUGAGAAACCUCGUCUUUUGCAUUGUUGGAAUCAUAUCAUCUCCAUCAACCUUCAACAACAAGAAUCUCUGAAAAAUUUCAUAAGAAAAUGAAGAAAAUCAAAUGUUUUUGAAUUAAAAGUAACGGAAAGGACCAAAAUGUUUAACGGAUAGAAAUUAAGGGACCAAAAUAAAUCAAAUUUUAAUUAAGUGACCAAAGCGAUACUAUCUACUAUUUUUUAUGUUGGUAAACAAACAAAAAUAACUUUGAAUUUUUUUUAGAUCUCUAGAUUCUCUUUUACCCAAAAUCUCUUUUUUAAAAUUGAAACAAACGCACCCUUACUUUAAACAAAAUCAAUUUUCGAACUCAACUGUAGCAUUUGAUAUCAACAAUUGUAAUAAUGUCCAUGAUUUUAUUUUUGUCUAUUAUAGGAAGUGACAAACACCAUCAAAAUUUCCAUCCAUGCACAACAACUAUAUUUCAAACUCAAUUGAAGAUAUUGAAUUUUUUUUUAUGGUGAUCAGGAUUUAAACCUCAAACCUUGCAUAUAUUACUCAUUGUUUCAACCAACUGAGAUAAACACCAACAUGCAUGAUUAAGAUAUUUUGUUGAAAUUUAUAGAUUUAAUUUAAUUUAAAAACUCACCUUUUUAAGGACUUUUCUGGCUGUGUGAUGAUGUGUGUGUAUCACAACAAUAUCACAUUAUUAUUAAGUACAAGUACAGAUCUGCAAUCAACAUAUAGUGACUAGUUACUACUUCUGUCACUAACUUUAGUCAAAACCCAAACAAUCUGAACCCAAAUUCCAUUUCAGAUCACAAUGCUAUACCAUAAUAAACGACUCGUCGUUUUCCUCUUCCUCACCACUCUCCUUCUCAUUUCUUCAUUCUCUUUCACUCUUUCAGAAAAAACCCAAAACAACGACGACGACGAUGAAGAUCUCAGCUUCCUCGAAGAACCAGAAGACACCACCACCACCCACCACGACCACGCUGAUUUCCCAGAUCCCGAUAACUUCGACGACGACGACGAAGGCGAUGACGGCGACGAAUUCGGCGAUUUCUCCGGUUACGAUCCUCACUCCGAUGAAGACUUCAAGGAACCAGAAGUGGAUGAGAAAGAUGUUGUCGUUUUGAUUGAGCGAAACUUCACUACCGUAAUUGAAAACAACCAAUUCGUGAUGGUUGAAUUUUAUGCUCCGUGGUGUGGACAUUGUCAAGCUUUGGCGCCAGAGUAUGCUGCGGCGGCGACGGAAUUGAAGAAAGAUGGUGUUGUUUUGGCUAAGGUGGAUGCUUCGGUGGAAAAUGAAUUGGCUUAUGAGUAUAAUGUUCAGGGUUUUCCUACUGUGUACUUUUUCAUCGAUGGAGUUCAUAAGCCUUACAAUGGCCAAAGAACUAAGUAAUUUUCUAUACUCCAAUCCAGAUUUUAAUCUUUUCUGUUAUUUCAACUCUGAUCAUAAAUGAUAGUGUUAUAAUUUAUGAUACUGAUACCGGUAAUAAUUUGAGUAAAUGACAGUGAUUAAAUGUAACUAUAUUUGUCUGGUGUUGCUGGACACCGGAAACACGACACUGAUACCGGUAAUAAUUUGAGAAAAUGAUAGUGAUUGAAUGUAAUUAUAUAUGUCUGGUUUCGGUGGACACAGGACAUGCAGUUUCAAUUUGAAGUGUCGGUGCUAUAUAGGUUAUAAUCAGAGUUUUGCUUUUUAAAUGGUGGGGCAUUGAUUUUGAAACCGGCUUAUGAGUUGCAAUUUUGCUUUAUGUAGAGAUGCUAUAGUGACAUGGAUCAAGAAGAAGACAGGACCUGGUGUAUACAACAUAACUACAUUGGAUGAUGCUGAACGCAUAUUGACUUCUGAAACUAAAGUUGUUUUGGGAUUCCUUGACUCCUUAGUUGUAAGUUUUUGGAUUCUUGUUUCCCAUUUUUUAUCAAAUGCAAUUUAGGUGUAUAAUGUAUUCCACUUUUUGUGAUUUAAAUGCCUAUUUAGUAUGGUUUGAUGAAUUCGUUGCUUUGUUUAUAUGGAUCGUACAAAAGUAGUUUUGUCGUAUAUAGUAAUAAAGGUUUUGUUUCCUUUUUAAUUAAUCCACUAUAUAGAGACCAUUUUCCGUGUUGAUUCUCUGGACUAAUGUAAUGAAUCUGAAGUUUGAUGAUUCAGUCUAUGAAAGUGUUGGUUGGUUGAUAAGUCUGAUGCCUUCUUUUUCUGUCAUAAUGUGCAGGGUGCUGAAAGUGACGAGCUAGCUGCAGCAUCAAAACUUGAGGAUGGUGUCAAUUUUUACCAAACCGUGAUUCCUAAUGUGGCUAAGCUUUUCCAUAUUGACCCAGAUGUCAAGCGCCCUGCUUUGGUCUUGCUCAAGAAAGAGGAGGAGAAACUUAACCAUUUUGGUUUGUUUUCUUGUUCCACUCUCUUCCCUCUCCAGAAUAGCGAAAAAACAUCAAUUGGAUUUUAAUGUUAAUUUAAUAUAUAUCAUCGUCUCUGCAGAUGGCCAAUUUGUAAAAGCAGAAAUAGCCAACUUUGUAUCAUCCAACAAGCUUCCGUUGGUCAACAUUUUUACAAGGGAAAGUGCUCCCGUGAUUUUUGAAAGUCCAAUCAAGAAACAGGUAAUUGGUUAUAUCUCUUAUUGUUUUAUAUUGUUAAUCUAAUAAGAAACUUUCCUUGAAAAUGUGAUCUUAAUAAACCUCUAACAUUGUUGUGUUUUAAACUUGGCUUUCAGUUGUUGCUGUUUGUGACUUCAAAUGAUACAGCGAAGUUCAUCACAGUAUUUCAAGAAGCAGCAAAGCUUUUCAAGGGGAAGGUAUUUUCCUUACAAGCCACUGUUUAAUAUUCUUUCAUUGCAUUCGUUCUCUAGACUCUAGACAAAUUUGUAUUUGCCUUUUGUUUCACAAAAAAAUGCAAAUAAAGUGGAAAACUUUUCAGUUUAUUAUAAUUCUGGUGCAGUGCGUGACUGAGUGGAUCAUGAUGAUAGAUAGAAUGGGAAGAGUAAGCAUAGACAAAUUUUAGUUUGCAAGGCAUGCAAUUGACAUGAUGCAUUGUUAUAUGUACUUUCCUAUUAUAGUGUUUCCCAAACUAGUAUGGAUAUGUCCAGCAGUGUCGUUUGCAGCUGAGUAGGUUAAAUAACAUAAUUGUGUCAUUUGCUUCAUAUAGCUGACUACGCUUGUUGACAAAGAUACUGUUUUUUUCGUAACCAGAUCCAAUGGAGUAAGUUAAAAUCUUGUGUUUGUAGUCACUGGGAUUUAUUGAGACUAGUUAUAGGUUUAUUAGAUUUUAAGUCCUAAGGAGUUCAACGGAUAGUACAUCAUAGAGUUGGUUCUUAAACUAACCACUUUUUAAUUUAAUAUUAAGUUUCCUGUUUCCUGUUUUUCUGUCUCUUUGUUAUUUAAUAUUCUUAAAAUGGAUGCACUAUUUGGUAUAAUGCUGGUUCAAUUUUUUCUCUUUUUGGCGAGAUAUUGUUAUUGAUUGUAAUCAUAUUUCUUAUUAUCCUCUCUGUUAUUAGCUUUAAUAUUUAUAGGGAUAUUCGAUUUGAUUCCACAGUUAAGGAUCAUGAUAGGAUCUCAGUACUAUAAACUAUUUAGAUUAUUCCCCUCAUGCAUAUAAAUACUUGUACAAACUUUGUUAUUAGUAAGAGAGAAAUAUUCAGAUUCAAGGACAGUAUCUGAAACCAGUGUUUUUUUUAAGGAAGUAUCUGAAACCAGCUUAAAUUAUAUAGAUUUGUGAAUGAAUUUAAUUUGUAUACAGUGUUAGUGUAAAUAUUUUACACAUUCAUCUAAUCAUAUCAUACCAUUUAGUUAUUUGUGGAGAUGUUUAGGAAUAAAACAACAAAGUGGCAUCAUGGUGUGGUUUGAUUGGAUGGAUGAUGUCUAAAAACAUUUUGCACUGUUAGUGUAUAUAAUGUAAUCUCUUUGUGAAUUUGCUUUGAAUCUGAGGAGUUGUGACUUAUGAAAUAGUUUUGAAUUUUACCAAAAUUUCCCUUGUUGUACGCCUCACUCUACGAUUAGCAACAAUAUCCUUAUUUGUAAAUCAUCAGAAUAUAGCAUUUGAUAAUUGCCUGUGCUAAAUAUUUGGAUAUUUCAAAUUUGAUAAAUUUCUGUUGUCGUACAAUUUGCUCAUAAUAAUCCUAUGCAUCAGUCUGUAAAAAAAACUCCUAGGCAUCAUUUAAAAUUUAAGAAUAAAUUUUAGUUUCCACACUUCCCCAAAGAAUCUUAUUUUUCUGAACAAUACUGCCCCAAAGAAUCUUGAUUUGCCGACAAUGACUUAUUUCUACUGUACAAUGAUCCUUUGCAGCUGAUCUUUGUUCAUGUGGAAAUGGAUAAUGAAGAUGUUGGAAAGCCUGUUGCAGAUUAUUUUGGUCUUUCUGGAAAUACUCCCAAAGUAAUCAUGUCCCUUUCCUUUUCUUUUCUUUUGUGGUUGAGUCUUGAGAUUCUUUACAUAUUAUAUAAUUUAAAUUUCAAGAAAAUCAAGUAAAAGAUGAAACUUUGAAUAUAGGUACUUGCAUUCACAGGAAAUGAGGAUGGCAGAAAAUUUUUGCUUGAUGGAGAAGUGACCAUUGACAAUAUUAAGGUACUCUUUUCUCCCUUUCUGCCGAGGCUCUCUUCAUUCUUUUAUCAUGCUAUGGAAUAUGUAAGAAUGUCUUCUUCUCUGCUUUAAGCAAAAAGAGAUUGUGGCUAAGAAUUUCAAGUCUUUAUGUUUUUAUUCAGGCAUUUGGGGAAGAUUUCCUUGCAGACAAGCUAAAACCUUUUAUCAAGUCGGAUCCAAUUCCUGAAAGUGUGAGUCAUUCUAUUUUUGGUGUAUAUCUUGCCAUCUUUUUCAUCUCUAACCCAUUUUCUAACUCGAUGGCAGAAUGAUGGUGAUGUGAAAAUAGUUGUUGGCAAUAACUUCGACGAAAUUGUCUUGGAUGAGUCGAAGGAUGUUCUACUUGAGGUAUAAUUUUCGCCCACCAGUUUCAAGUCGUAUUUUCUUGUGUGAAGCUUGUUCGAUUGUGUGUUAAGUAAUUGUUGUCAUAAUAUUAGGUUUAUGCUCCUUGGUGUGGCCAUUGCCAAGCCUUGGAACCAACAUUCAACAAGCUCGCAAAACAUCUUCAUAGCAUUGAAUCUAUUGUAGUAGCCAAGAUGGAUGGAACAACAAAUGAGCAUCCUAGGGCAAAGGUAAAACCCAAUAUAAACUAGAUUUCGAUAUCAUAUAAUAUGAUCUAUUCCCAUUAUAAUUAAAGUGACAUUUGGUCCCAACUCAUGUUAAGUUUUGGAUUUUUCAUUUAAGCAUUACAUCAGAAGCCGCAAUGGCUUUUGCAUGCGUGCAUGCAUGUGUGCUCACCAAGUUUUGUUUGUUCCCUUUGCAGUCUGACGGGUUCCCCACUCUUCUCUUCUACCCUGCAGGAAAAAAGAGUUCUGACCCUGUAAGUGAAUAUUAAACGACACCGUACGAGUUCUCUAUUCUAACCCGGUUCUACCUAACCUAACUUUAUCCUUAGAUGAUCUAAUAUGUAUACGGUUCAUUACGUAUGCAGAUUACUGUUGAUGUGGAUCGUACAGUCGUGGCUUUUUACAAGUUCCUCAAGAAACACGCAUCAAUUCCAUUCCAACUCCAGAAACCAACCACAACUUCUAAAACCAAUGAUAGUGGGAGUUCUGACAUCAAGGAAAGUCAGAGUAGCAUCACAGAUGCGAAAGAUGAGUUAUGAGAGCUAAAGGAAACUUCUAUUUAUGAAGAGGUUCGACAGAUGACAAGAGUAGAGUGACUAGCUGCUCAGCAAAGAAAAUAGCACAAUGACUGAGUGAGAAAAAUCGUCUAUUUUCCCUAACCUGCCCAAAAGAGACAGAUAAGAAAAUGGUAGUGGAAAAAUGAUAUUGAUAUUUACCUGUGUAUUAGUUUCUUCAGCUUUAAAUGUUUUUGUAUUAGAAUUUUGUGAGACUGAGUUGAAUGAAAUAGAGUCCAAAGUUUUACUUUAUCAGCGGUUUGUUUAUUUUUUUGUAUUAGUUAUUGGUACUUUUUUUCUUAAUUUAAGCUUGGUAGUUGAUAAAACUUUAUUUAGUAGGUAAGGUAAAUAAUAAUCGUUUUUUAAAAGUUCCUUCCAUUGAGAAGUAUGUUUGGCAGGUGAAUGUUACAGUCCUAUGAUCAAUUGAAGGGUAAAUGAGUAUACUACACAGUAAUAUUACCCCCUUAAUAACUCCCAUGCUGUCAACUUCUCCUUCCUCCAUUGCUUCUCCAACCCUCGCCGUCUCCCAUUUAAAAUGACCUAACCCACUUCCGACUUCAUAUGCGACUUGUUCCUCUUCACCCCUGCAUCAUCCCUUGUCAAAUUGCAUACAAACUAAAUCCCAAGUCAAAAAUAUCCAAACUACUCUUAUAUAAUGUAAUGCGCACACCAAUGUUAUUGGCUGUCUCUUCAGUAUUUUUGUUGAUUUGGUUUGAUUUGUCAAUCUAUGUUGGUAGGCUUUAUGUACCUUUUGCACACGCAGCCCCUUAUUAUCCCUCUCUUAUUUGCCUCAGCAACACCCUUAUAGUUAUACGGGAGAUCUAAGCUAUAAGCUUCCAGCAAAUAACAACACAACUCAAGUAUUUCGCACCGUCACCGACCACAUCAAAGACCACGCAUAAGAUUGACUUUAGUACCACUGCCACCACUGUGAGGGCCUUCAUUGCCCAAUGAUGAGAUUUACCCAUAAAGUUAGCAAGGCACACGAUAUUUGAAUCCUAUAAAGUGUAGGGACUUCAGAAGAAAGGCGUUGGUACCAAAAUAUUAGAGCAAGAGAAUAAGAGAGGAAGUGAGUUAGAUAGGCGUAAGAUAGUAAUGUUUAGAAUUUACACAUUGAGCAGAGGUAGUAAUGUUAAAAGAGGUUCACCUCACUUUAAAUAUGGCCAUCAUAUAUAUCAUGUACAGUAGUCCUUUUAAAAGAGGUUCUCCUUAAAUAUGGCCAUCAUAUACAGAUGUACUGAUUUAUUCUAGUCUUGGUAAGUUUGUGUGAUGCAAUAUUCUCUCUCUUUUAAUUUUUAUCAUCAAUAGUAUUGCGAAAUACUCACUCAGGGUCUAUUUAUAAGAGAAAUGUUAGGGAUACUCUUUUUUCAACACUCCCUCAAUCUCAUUUUUGUAAUUGGAUAAAUUCAAUGUAUAUCCCGCUACUUUGUGAGACUUAUUUCCAAAGUGUGAGACUCAACUUGAUUUAAAUCCAUAAGAGAGUGAGUGUUAAACAUAGUGUAAAAAAUAGUGUUGUUAGCACUACUCCUGUUUAGAAAAGAUAUUUGAGUCAAUACAAAGUGAUAUAUUUGAUUUAAAAUUUAAACACAUCAAUUUUUGUUGACAAAAAUAUCUCUCAUAAAUAAGACCGGAGCUAAUAACACAAGAAAUUUGUGGAAAGAUUCUUUCUUAAGAUAUGGUAGUAACACAACCAUAUCUCUUUAUUAAUACUUAAAAAAUGAUAUGAACACUCACUUUUCAACACUUUCUUUAAAUUCACUCGCACUCAUUAGGACCCUAUUACACUGAUUGAUGUUAUUCAGAUUGACGAAUCCAAUGACACUUUGCAUAACCGAAAGAGAAAAACUAAAUUAAUCAUAAACGUCUUUAAAGACAAAGCAACAACAAUGGUACUUUUAAGAUGAAAAUAAAAGUUACUCUAGACUAACAACAAAAAUUAGGUCUAAAAUCCCAACAUAUUUGUAGAACUGUUUCGCUUUUUCCGAUUUUCAACCACACAUGUUUGAUGGUCAUCAUAAUACUUCCAACACUAUUGUGCAAAUAACUUAGCAAAACAAAACAAAAUUCCAAGUAACAUGAGGGAUAUACAAACCCUAGAAAAAAAAACACCAAAGCCAUAACUAAAUGAAAUUACAAUACCAUUCUUGUGUUUAGAUAAGUCAUCUACACGAUGUGGCACACUUUCAGAAAUCCUUUUUUGAGAAGAAUCUCUUUCAUUGAAACCACCGUGUUUUUAAGGACGCCUAAAGAAACAAACAUGUUGUAUGUUAGUGUCAUUCUUGCCUAUCGAUGAAUUUGAAGGCCUUUAGCGCUAUGCUAUUACUUGAUCUCAGGUCACUAAAGAGACUACUUUGUUGACACAAUGACGUAGAUUCUGGUAGUCAUCAUUUGACACCAUUUGCUUCAUUAAAUUUGCAUUAUAAGCCAUUUUAUAGUCUGCAUUAUGUCACACGCCGUGCAACUUUUCUCUUAUUCGAUGGCCCAUUUUUCUUCUCAAAUCUCUUUCUCUUCUUAGUUUGAUUUUGGAAAGACUUUCCAACUAAGGAUGGUAUUUGUUUCAGUCCAAAGCUUUUUGCUACGUGCCCUAAGUGAAGUUUCUUAACCAUAAAUAUUCUUUUCAGCUCCCCACGAUGCGCUGUGUAUGCACGGACCCAAGAGCAAAAUGCUCUCUUGGCAAGUUCUUCCAUUUUGGGCUGAAAAUGACAAAGCAAGAAUUGGUUUGUGAAUACAAAGAAGAAACAAAAACCCAUUAUAGGAUCCUAUUAUUAUCUACCUGUUUGGAUAAACAGCUUAAUUAAACAUGUAUAGCAUAGACACUUAUCAUCUUAGUGCUUAUUUAUGCGCUAAGUCUAUUACAAAAGAUAAAAUAAGGUUAACUAUUUUUAUAUAAGCUAUAAGCUGCUUUCGUAAGCAAUUCUGUAGAGCUUAUGGAAAUAUGUUGAAAACAGUUGCUAAUAUUUAUGGCAGAAGCUGUUUCCUAACAGUUUCACGAGAGCUCAUACGAGUAGAUGAGCUCAAAUAAUCUGAUCUAAAUAGUAUGAAAAAUAUUAACGAUUAGUGAUAAAUCACAAGGAAUAAGCAAGCCAAUAAAACUGGAGAUGGAAGGGAAAAAAACAUUGAUAUAUAUAUAUAUAUAUAUGCAGAUCAUAAUGAUCAAACUCUUCAACUUGAGUGCAUGCAUGAUUGAUAUAUAUUAAGAAUAAGGAAUAUCUCUCUCCCUUUCUUCACUAACCUUCCAUUUCCCUCCACUCAAGAACUUCCAAACAUAGAAGAAAGGGAAAACUAGGCAUUUUGUUUUAUUAUCACUUGUUUUUAAGAUCAACUGCUAAGCAGAUCUUUUCAAAAAAAAAAAAAAUUAGCUUAGCAGAUGCAAUAAACCAACAUGAAAUGUUUCAUAGUUUUCAAAAGUUAUAAACUCUACACAAUAUUCCAAUGAUGAUUCCAAAUUUAAAUUUGAUGACAUGUUAUCUGACUAAAAGAGGAUAAAAAGUUAGGUAGAAUUUCACAACUGUAGAAUUCCAUAAGGUUAGCAAUGAGGAUCACCUUGGACGAGAUGCAGGACUCAAGUGCCUUCUGGAGACACAUGAUCCACGGAUGCAUGUCUAUGAAAACAGAUUUCUUUAUGUUGUUCUUGUGUGCUGACAGUGGGAAACUAUCCAACACUUUGAGGAGAGGGUACUCCACCAGUGAGACACCAUGUUUCUCCAAGUCUUGUAAAUAAUCUAUUUCAGAUGGUUGCAGAAAUAACAAUGACUCUCCUCUUUCACCAAGUCGAGCAGUUCUUCCAACUCUGCAUCAUGAUUUAACAAUAGACCAUAAAUAAGACAGCCUUUCAAAUCAUAUCGGAAGAUUGUGAUUUUUCACAAACUGGGAUAUCGAAGACACUUUUAAAUCUACUAGAUGAGAUAUCUAGUGAAACAAGCCCCACUUACUCUAGUUUGUUAAAAUCAAAGAGAGUGCCUUUACGCUUCUAGAAAUAUAAUAUGUUUGGAUAAACAGCAUAAAGGCAACCAAUGGGGAUAAUGAUGGAAAUGUUUUACAUUUACCUUUUAGCCGUUAAGUCUUGAUACAAUUUACUUUUGGGAAAGGCUAACUUAACAUGACUCAAAUAUAGUAAUUUUUUGUUGGAAUGUGUGCAUUGAAUUUAAUUUUUGAAUUUGUAAUAAAUAGAAUGCACAAAACUUGAGAGAAUAUUUCUACCAUUGGGUUCCUUAACAUGUGCCGUAAGGGCACAAGUUAGCAUGACCCUUUACUUUUUAUCAGCAUCACGUUUUAAUAUUCUAGCAAAUAUAAACGACUAAUUAUUUGUCAAAGUCUAAAUUCUAUUAAAUUAUUGACUAGGAUGUGUAAUCUGAAGUUUAUAUCAUAUACAAAUGUUUCAACAUGUGAAAAUGAAUAUUUGAAAGGAAUAUUUUAAUAUUAUGUGACAAUUUCCUAGUCCUAUUUAAUUUACAGUAAAUGAAACAAUUUUUUUUUUAAGAUUAUAUAAACUGGUCUUAGCAUGUGUUUUUGGAUUACAUUAAUUUACAGUAAAUGAACCAUUUUUUUUUUUAAGAUUAUAUAAACUGGUCCUAGCAUGUGUUUUUGGAUUACAAUAGGAAGAACAGAAAGCAUCAAUAAUUGGAACAUACACCCCAACCAAAGAAAAAUAUUAGAUAAAUUAAGUACCUGUGCACAUAUUCAGUGGCUUCUCCGGGAGAAUCAUAUUGUAUGAUGCAUCUAACAUUUGGAAAAUCUAAGCCUCUGGCAGAAACAUCAGUAGACAAAAGAAGGGCAGAUUUCUCAGUUUUAAAGGCCUGAAAACUGGUUGUCCUGUCCUCCUGUUCCAUAUUACCAUGUAGCCGAAGAGUUUUGCAUCCUAGAAACAUUGUUCUGUUCCCUUCUUCGGUUUGUGGAUAUGAUGAAAAAAGGAAUUCGGUUAUCAAUGAAUAAUGAAAGUCCACGGCAUCACAUGUUGAAAAGAAUAGCACAACCUGUGGAGUCAAUAGAUGAAUGAUGUGAAUGUGACUUAUAAGGAAGGCAUAAUAUGUUGAAUAAAUGUAAUUAAUGGCAAGCGUAGAUGAAAAAUAAAUUUGGUGCAACAUUGUUCACGUUUUUAAACAUUAAGGACUGAUUUGACAAGAAAAAAAAUGAUAUGCUUGGAACUUUGAAAUAUGUUAAAAGAUCUCUGGUGUAGUUUUGACUAAGAUAAAAAUAUAAGCACGAUUCAUGUCAUAGCCCUGACAAAAUCAAACCAGAUUGACAAGCAAUAAUUUAAGCAUUAAAAACAAUUGAAGAAUAUACAGAGUGCAAAAUCUACCGAUUUCAAGCACCAAAUCCUUACCUUCUGUGAAGGUUCCCUUUCAAAAAGAUGCUUUAGAAUAGAAAGAAGUAUAGCAAGCCGUGAUCCACAAGGCACUGCAUGAUAAUCCAAUUAAGUAUCCAUGAUCUUAAAACAUUAUACUAAAUUAGAAAGCUUGCAGAAGAAAUUUAAAUCAUCAGUUUAUCACAUACCCUUCAUAUAUCUCUGAAUUAACUGUUCGGGCACUUUAUAAGCUCCAAUUGCUGGUAUUUUACUGGAAUGUGUGUCUUCAUUGUCUUCAUCACAAUCUGAAUUAUCAAAUCUAAUUCUUGACGUUGGUUCCAUUAUUUUAUCAUCAAUACCAAUCAUAACUGGAUCCUCUAAGCUAAUUUUAGCAAGGUGGUUUACUUUCUCAUUUAAGGUUGCUGAUAAAAGCAGGUUUUGUCUUUGAAAUUUAGAGGGUCUUGGAACUCCACUCUCUUGGUCAUCGUGCCCUGUCUUCAUUGAACCUAAAAGAUUUAGUAUUUCUUGUAUCUCUUUUCCAAAUCCUAAUUCCAAAAUACUGCAAAAAGAAAAGAGAGAGAAAACAUGUCAGGCAAAGAUGCACCGAGAAAACAGUAUCAAGUUAUUGUGCAUAGAUAAUGUAAUUUCUAUUGCAGCAAUAGAUGAAAACCAUACCGAUCAGCUUCAUCAAAAAUUAUCCAGCGCAAAUUAGUGUACACGAAUGAUGAUGUGUUCUUCAAGUGAUCUAAAAGGCGCCCAGGAGUUGCAAUAAGAAUUGAUAUGCCUAAAUAGGAAUCACAGAGGUUAAAAAUUCAUCAAUGUUUGUCGUCAUGACAUUUCCUUUAAGUGAUAGAUAAAUUUUCUUUUAAACAUAGUAACAGAUGUUAACGUACACAAACCGUGGAAUCGUAACAAGGAUUAUAAGAUCCUAAAAAUUUCAUAUAUGAUCAUACAUUAAGAAAAAGCCUAAAUAGGAAUCAUUACAAACAAUUAAUUAAAUACCCAUAAUUUCACAAAUUAGCGGCUUAACAGCUUAAGCCGAAGUUUAAUCAACUUGAGAACUCUAAAAACAAAAUAAGAAGUUUUUGGCAAGCGACAAGGCAUAAACCAAACAAGCUCAAACAACUGCAUGAUGAAAUUCAACAUUCACCACAACAAAUCACCAGCAAACAAACACCCGGAAACUGACGCAAUCAGCGUCAGCUUAUGCAGAGCAAAGACAGCAACCACUUGUGUAAUGGGAGGGAUACAAAGGAACUAGCAUCAAAGACGGGAACAUUGGAAGGAGUUGCAGGUCGAGGAGGAGAAUAAUGACAGAAUUGAGCUUUUGGUUGAAGGACAGUAAACAAAAGAGUUUACAGUUCCAGAAGCAGGACUCUGUAUAUUCGCACAAUCCGAACCAACUCAACAAGUAUGCGCAGAAGUCCCAAGAAAUUUCACUAGAAUGUGUUAUGACACAACACAAGGAUCGCUGACGAACUCAAAAAUCAGAAAAUGUUCUAGCACGACAUUGGGACUGUGGACGCACCCAAAAAUCAUAAAAUUGAACUAUCUUACAAGAUCAUAAUUUUAACUACCUUGAAGGACACCAUAACACUAAUUUUUUUUCUACUAUAAUUUCAUUUCCCGUUUUCGACAACAUUCCUAAUUUAAUUUUUGAACAGCUAAUAAAGAACAUAUUUCAUUUUCAAAUAUAAAGUCAGAUGAGUAUUGAUGAUGAAUAAACAUAAUUUCUACCUUUGCGCAGUCUGGCUUUCUCCUUUGAUCUACUUUCACCACCCAUAAUGUAUCCUGGAACAAUCCAAUGAAACCGGUGCAGUAACUUCUGAAGAAUUUCGUGAACCUGCAAACAUAACUCACGCGUUGGUACAAGAACCAACGCUAUUGCCAAUAAACCAAUUAAAUUUAAGAAAUUGAUAGAUAUUUUUGCACACUAAAACAGUGAAAUUAAUAGGUUAGUUCGAUGAGACUUUCGUGAAAUUAAUAGGUUUCUGAUGAUGAAUUAUCUUGAAUGUUGAACACAAGAAUUAAUUUAUUUUCACUUAACAGUUUCAUCUUUUCAAUUAUUCGAUAAUUUAAGGUUAUCAUUGUAAAGAUUUGUUUUGGUUAUCUCAUCGGUUGUCACUGUAUCCAAAGUAACAUAACAAAACAGACACCAAGUAGUGUAACCUGUUAUCUAUCCCAACUCUCAAACAACAGAAGUGACGAGAAGCUGAACAAAUAGGUGAAUACAUACAUAACAAAAAGCAAUGACACAAUGGUACUAAAUAGUGUUGAAAACAAAAAUAACACUCACCAAAUGUUCCAUCGGAGCGCUGAACUCUCUUAUCAUAACUCUGCAAGUGAUGAAUUAUCGGAGCCAGGUAUGCAAUAGUCUUCCCUGUGCCCGUAGCAGCAUUAACCAGUCUAAAUUUUCUCAUUAAAGAAUCCACUUAAAAACAAAACAAAAAACCCAACAAGAUAUAGCAUGAAGUAACAUCAUAGUCCCUCCAUUUCAAAUCAUUGACAGUUUAAUUUUUUUACACUCAUUAAGAAAUCAUUUAACAAAUGUAUGUUUAUUCCAAUAUAAACCUUAACAUUAUCAUUAAUUAUUUUAUAAACGAGUUUAAUAGAUAUGCGCUGACAUUGUCAUCAAUAUGCCUAGUAUAUAUAACCAAAUACUCAAUUCUCAUUGAACGUAUGUGUAAAAUUAGUUUACACUGACAGUGCAUAUACCCUCUUCUCUUUAAAAAAUUUCACUUUUUCAAUCCAAAAGAGUAUAAAUACACUAAGGCUAUAGUAUUUGUAAAAAGGAUACGCAUGACGACCAGAGAGAACAACAGGAAUAGCUUGAGCUUGAAUUAAUGUUGGAGCUUCAAAACCCAUUCUUUCUGUUCCAAAAUAAAUAAAGAUUAAAACUUUGGAUAACUGAAGCUUGCCCAUGAAGUGAAAUAUGAUUUAAAACACAAAAAUUCAGGAAACAAAGAGUUACCACGAAGUUGGUCACAUAAGGUUUGGUGAAGACCGAGACUAGAAAAGGAACAUGAAGCAAAAACGUUGUUGUUAUUGUCUCCUUUGUUGGUUCCAUCAUCAUGAGUAGUAGUUUUCUUCUUCUCUUUUUCUUUGCUUUUCACCACUUUGGCUUUGGUCUUCUUGUUCAUCGUGGCCAUUCUACUCUGUGCGACGGCUGUGUUCUUUUUGGUCGGUGAACACCGCUAUUCUAUUGUUUGAUUUUCUUUGAGAAAUAGCCUUAUACCCCGUUUGGUAGAGGAUAGAAAGAAUUAGCAGAGAAAAAAGAUGCAGAGGAAAUAUAGAUGUUGCAAAUAAAAUGCGUUUAUUGUAUUGUUUAGGGUUUAGGUUUUUUUUUUUUGGUAAAAUUGUUUAGGGUUUAGGUUGACAGUGGAUACUCGAUACUUAAUUGCUCUCUGAUUCUAUUUUCUAUUUGUGCUGGUGUAAAAAAAUCAUUUUCUUUAAUUGACAUUGUUUAUAUAGUUAGGUUUUUUUUUUUCUUUUCAAUAGGCCGUUAAAAAAGUAGAGUGUUUGACAUUCGAACUCCGACCACCGUAUAUAUUACGAAAUGUUCUUAAAAACUGAGUUAAGGCAGUAGAGAUUAUGUAUUAGGUUAAUCGAAGCUUGAAAUGGAGAACUACAAAACUACCAAAUGAGCAGUAAGAAUCCCCAAAACGUCAGCUGCUGACAAAUGACUAAACUAAGACAUACAUGUCUAAAACAACCAUCAUAUUGGACCUCGAAGGACAUUCAAUACUAGCUAGAGCAUUAACACAUUGAUUUGUUUCUCCGUAUGAAUGAUGCACCACUACAUCUCACUCCAUCUCCAAGAGACGACAAAUCUUCAUAACCAAUGACGUACCACAAUGGCUGCCCCAUCCUCCUUUAUAAAUCAUUUGCACCACCACUGACGAAUCAACAUCUAACUCCACAACUGAAAAGCCUAGUCUUCUAGCAUACUUCAAGCCCUCAUAAGCCUCCCUCAACUCUACCAUAUAAGCACUACAGGAACCAACCCCUUUAGCAAAACCACCAAUCCACUCCCCAUCACUAAAUGAGGGUUGUAUUAUAUUAGUAACAAGUAAAUCCUUUAUAUGGAAAAAAUUCGGAAAUUCAUUUUUAAAAGGAGAACAGUCAAAGGCUUUGAGAUCACCCAGAAAUAACUUUUGAUUACACCUCCACAUCCUGCAAUCUCGCUCAUAAUACAUGCACCAUCUGUAUUCAACUUUACCCACCCUAUAGGUGGCGGCUUCCACCCAAAGUAACAUUUGUUGUUACUUUAGAAGCCUUCACAACUUUAUUGUACUCAUGUGCAUACUUUAAAAUAUGUGUACACAGUUCAAGUCUCACAAAAUUUUAAUUGUGAUAUUCUUUAUUCCUCCAAUUCCGUAACAAUGACACAAUAUGGUCCAAAAAUCUUUCCAUCUGAUAGAAGUCUUUAUAAGAGUUUAAACUCAAGACCUGGCAAUAAUGAUUAAUCCUUCAUUAAAAAUCAUAAAAUGCUAUUUGAUGUGAUCCUAAAUUACAAAAAGAGAAAUAUAAGAAAAAUAUGAAAAAGACGGAAACUUUUUCUUAUCUUUUUACUUGAUUGGGUAGAGAAUGAGAAUAAAGAAAUUAUAUUAUUUUAAAAAUGACAGCAUUAUUGUUAAACUUCAAAAUAAUAAUUUUUUAUUUGUAUUUAUUUAUUCUUUAAGGAAGUAGAAGUUUAUUUUUUAAGCAAAGAAAUAAAAGUUUGUUGAUUAUUUUAUUGUUUGAAAAGUUCCGUAAUUUAGUUUUAGAAGUUUUAUACUUUAUAUAUUUGAUCCUCUAAAAUAUCCCCCUCUAAAAUCCUCUAAAAAUCCCUCACAAAUAGACUUAGAAAAUCCCCCACAUAGGUCAAGAGCAAGGGAUUUCAACCGGAAAAGCUCACGAUUUAUAGAAUAAUUAUAGGAUCUACUAAUAUAGACUAUUGAAACAUUAUGAGUAGAGUCCAGCUUACCUUAAUUUAACUUGGCUCCAUUUACACCUGUUCAAUACAUAGAUGACAGACAUGUGGAUAAAAUAAAUCCAAUGGUUGUAAUUAAAAGGACUAAAAUAAGCCUUCUUUGAUACAACAAUAUGACUGUCCAUCUUCUCUCACCAUCUCCUCCACUCCUCUCCCUCUUCCCUCUCGCCUCCUUUACCACCGCAAUCCUUCCUUGGCCGUCCAAGCGGCGGCGUUCUUCCCUCUUCUAAAAUAAUUACACAUAAUCAAUGGAAUUAUCAGUGAGAGAGUUUGUUGAGGCAAAAUCCCUAAUUAAUUUUAAAGAUAAUAAACUUUAAUGAUUAAGGAUUAAAUGGACUUUGAUUAAUUCCUUGGUAUUUAACUUGUGCUCUUGAGUGUUUUCACUAAGACAGGAACAAGGUUUGAAUCAUACCAAGAUGCAUAAAAUCAAAGGACAUUGAAUCCAUGAACUAAUUCUGAAGUUCAGAAAAUUAGUUCAGAAUGUUGAUCAGAACGUUCUGAUGAGAGCUCAGAAGGUUGUUCAGAAGCAACUCUGUUCAGAAGCAACUAUGUUCAGAAGCAACCCAGUUCAGAAGGUUGUUCAGAAGCAACUAUGUUCAGAAGCAACCCAGUUCAGAAGGUUGUUCAGAAGCAACUCUGUUCAGAAGCAACCAAGUUCAGAAGGUUGUUCUUAUACAAGCCAAGAAUCUCAAGAACUGUGAUCAAGGUCAUGCAAGGCACAUGUGACAUGAAUAUAUGUCCAGGAAAGUACAUUUGCAUGGAUCAAUCAAGCAAUAAAGGCAUAUACAAGAGUUAUGUCAAAGAAGGCAUUCAAUGUUCAUUUAAGACUAUGAACAUUGAUGUACUAGGAAUAUUUCACAAAGGAAUAUCAUCCUAGAUGUUAUCAUCACUGCUCUUCAUUAUUGUUUCACUAUUAGGAUUUGAUUACAUCAAAUGAUAGUCUUACAAAUCAUCCUAAGUGAAACAGAUGGAACAUUCUGAUGAUCAGAAUGUUCAAGCUCAGCUCAUGCUUACUUUAUGAACAGUAUAGUAGGUGAAAAGCAAAAAGCAAAAGCAAAGCAAAUCUGUCAUCUUCAACAAGAGAUAGACACGUCUGAGAGUUGGUACUGAACAAGGACAACACAAUCUCUCAAAGCAUGGGCAUGAAGAUGCAGAAUCCCACUAAAUCCUCCUGCACCGGUUCCAAGACAAAUUCUGGGAAAGGAACAUUCUGAUGUAUGAAGAAAAGUCCAUACAUUGGUUAUUGUCCAGAAAUUCAUAUGGAAAGCAUAUGCAUAGCCCAGAACUUCAUGUGUUCAUUCAUACAUGAUGAACCCAGAUGAAGAACAUGAUGAACCCAGAUGAAGAUCAUCAUGAACACAACAACAUUCUGAUGUUCAUCAGAGAUCAGAAUGUUUGCCCAGAAUUUCAAGUUAAAGCUUGUGGGACCCAGGACACAUGGCAUAACACCAUUGGACACCCUACAACGGCUAUAUGAGCCCAAAGACUCCAUAAAUAGAGGGCUUGGCCUUAGCAAAACUCGCACCAUUGCAAAGCAUACAAGAAAACAACAAAGAUUGUUUGAAGCUCUUGCAAAUUGAAAUUGAUCAAUCUCUAAGUCCUUCAUCAACUUAGUGCAAAUCAAUACUCUUGUUAUCUGAAGGAUAACCUCUUCUUCUUCUUCCACUGUUUGUUUUACAAACAUCCAACUUCCACACAAAUUGUAACAAAGUCUCAUCUAGCUUUUAGAGGUCCUAAAGUGUUAGGUUGAGCAAAGGUUGUAAAAGUCUAAGUGGGUAACUUAGCAAGAAGAAAAGAAACAUAGUCUCAUCUAGCUUUUAGAGGUCCUAAAGUGUUAGGUUGAGCAAAGGUUGUAAAAGUCUAAGUGGGUAACUUAGCAAGAAGAAAAGAAACAAAUCUCAUCUAGCUUUAGGGGUACUAAAGUGUUAGUUUGAGAUGAGUUUGUAAAAGUCUAAGUGGUUAACUUAGCAAGAAGGUGCAAGCCUGCUGAGGCUUAGAGAAUACAGGAUUGUAAUUGUUCAGGUGAACAAAGAUUGUAUGGUGCAGGACUUGAGAGGUUAUCUCAAGCAUCAUAGUGGAAACUCUCACAAGAUUGUGAGGAGUGGACUAGCCCACAUUGGGUGAACCACUAUAAUUCUCUGUGUGUUCUUUCUCUCUUCCCUAUACUCUUUAAUUACAGUAUACACAACACACACUUACACAUUUACUUUAUUAAACUGUUUAUGUGUAUGAACUUCAGAACGUUCUGAAGUCAGAAUAUUAACUUAACUAUUCCAAGUAAACUACUUGAGAAUCACUUUUAAGUUUCAGGUUAAUUUUUAAAGGGUCACAAUUCAAACCCCCCCUUCCUUGUGACUAUUUUAUCUACUUCAAUUGGUAUCAGAGCCUGCCUCUAUGGGUUGAGCACUUAACAGUGUAUGAGGAAAAGAUCCAGAAAGAAGUAAUGUCAAAACCUGCAAGCCAAAGUGCAUAUCACAUAUGCAACAAUGUGGGAUAUUUGAAAAGUAAAAUCCCUCUGAAGAAGAAAAUGCAAAGAUGGCAUUCAGAGAUGAGUUUGAAGAAGAAGUCAACACAUGAGUAAAAGACAGUAGAUAAAGUAAAGAGGUAAGAAAUCCGAUCCUUAUCUUUUAUAUAAAGUGCUUACUAUUAUCUCAUAUGACUCAUGCAUUUUAUCUUAAAAGUAUGAACUUUUAAAAUAAUAACUUUUCUUGUAUAAAGAAAGAAAACGUGAAACCGCUAAUCUUGAAUGAUAUAUCUUGAAACCAUUCAAAAAUUGUAGAACUCUCAUUUUAAAAUAUUUGAGAAACAUAAGAUUCUCAAUGAGCAAAAAUUGUAAGAUUUAGCAAAGUCUGAAUUUUUGAAAUAAAAUGUUAUUUUGAAAAGCGAAGUAAUAUUUUGAAAAAGGACAUAACCAACUUUAUAAAGUCUGUUAAGACCUUUCAAAAAGGAUGGUUUAGGAUUCAUAACCUAUCACAAACAAAAUUGUCAUGAAAAUAUGUUAUACCAAACAAAAGUGAGAAGGUAAAUAAAAAUGAUCAUUUUGAAAAAGGAUUCAACAUUUUUAACCUGUAUAUUGUUGUAUGAAAAGAAACUUGAGAAAAAUCCUCAUUUCAAAAAGACAUUUUAUCCUAAAUUAGAUUGGUCUCAAAAGGUUGAGAUUGGUAAAACAUAAUGUUCUUAUUACAACAAAGCUGAUUAUCUUAAAUCAGAAUGUGGUCAUAAGAAAUAAUCUCUCAAGAAGAGAAACACUAACCUUCAAGGACCCAAAGUAAUAUGGGUACCAAAAGCUUUGCCAAUCUGUGAUGCAGAAAUAUUUGCUUCCAAGAUGAUAUGUGGAGAAAAUGUUCAAUCACUAGAAGAUGAGCAAAUGGAAUUUGAAACUAGUUUUAGUCUCAACAUAGAAGAUCUAAACUCAGACUUCAACACUGAUGUGUUUCAAGAUGCUCAGAAAAACAGCUCAGAUUGUGCAAGAAACAUCUGAAACUGAAGAUCUGAAUGUUCAUGUGUCUGCAGAUCAGAAUGUUCAGGAAAAUGCUCCUGAUGCUGAAGCUACUCAAUCCUAAAAGUUGAAAGCUUCAAAGUUCAUUCCUUUGUGUUCAAGCAAGGCAGAAAUAACUUUGGAAGUGUUUGAGAAUGUCAUUAAUGUUGAUCAUGUAUCAUAUAUCAUGUUCUCAACAAAAUUGUCUUUCAAAUCUCAACUACAUGAUUCUGCAACAUAUGAUUGAAGAACAAGAAGACUUCUCAUAUUUUAUAUGAAUUGGCUUUCACACUCACACUCAAGCAUUUUAAUAUGCCUCUGAAAAAAUGAAGUGUAUGAGAAGGAGUAUCAAAUCUUUAAACUAAAGAAUUUGACAACAAUGAGGUUCUCCAACAAUGGAUCAAGACAUCCCUGGAGAAACCUUCCAAAAAGCUUCUGACAUUGCUAACAAAGUUGUUCAGAAAGCUGAUGAAGUUCAGAAUGUUGAAGAACUUCAAAAGGAAGUUGAUGUUGCUGAGAAUGAAAGUCAGCAAGUUGAAGCAAUACCUCAAAUAUUGAGAUUGCAGCCAAUAAGGUUCAGGAAGCUGAUGCAACUACUGAAACAUGAAUUCAGAAAAGUUGAUGCAGCUACUAAAAGAUGGAACUCAAAAAGUUGAUGAAGUUCCUACAUAACAACUUCAGAAGGUUAAUGAAAUUGAAAAAGCUUUUAAGAAAAUACCUCAGAAAGCUAACAAAGCUGAAAGCUUUUAUUGGAGAAGGAUCCUUUAAAUCUUCUACUGCUGAAACAAUUUCAAAAUCUGAAGUGAUGUUACAAACAUCAUGAGUAAACUCCAGUUUGAUGAACAAGAAAUUGUUUUAGAAUCUGAUAUGGGAAAUGACCCUCUGUCAUUAAAAGAUCAUGAUAUGUAUGAUGUUGCUAAAGUUCUAGCCACACAUAUGCUUAGUGGAAACACUACCACAAAGGAAUCUGAUGAAGCUGAGCUAGCUUGAAAUCAAGAUGGUUUUGAACUGAAUGUGGAGGAAUUCAGCCCAGACUUCAAUGCAAGUGUCUUUGAGGAUUCUCAAGAUGAAAAUGAUGGAACAAUUCCUUCAAAUCAAGUUCAGAAUGUUCAAGCAAACAUUCUUCAUGAACAAAGCAUUCCAUAUGUUGAUCAUAUGUCUGCAAAUCCUGGAACUUCUGAAUAUGUUAAAAGACACUUAUAUCAGAAAGCUGAAAAGACUAAGAAGAAGAGAAAGCUACUGAUGAUUAAAUUGCUUCAGAAGGUUUUUCUUAUUGAUGCUUGGACUUCUCCAUCCAGACGAGAAAGUAUUUCAAAGAAAGAGAAACAUGCUCUCUUCAUUGAAUCUCAAAAGUGAGGGAUAUCAUCGCAUAAGGUACACAUUUAUUUGCACUAUAAUAAAUAUGAUAUAUGAUUGAAUGCAUCAAAUUCUGUCAUGUCUAAUAUGUGCAUAUAUCAAAUGUUUGAACUUAAAUGCAAAUAAGUGUUUCAUACUUUGUUCAUACUCCUUUCAUGAUGGUAUUAUACUCAUUUACAACUGCACACAUCAUAAUUAAUGACUGAAAUCAUUGCAUGAUGUCUUAUGCUUUAACAAGAUAUAUUAAGGGUGCAUUGAAAAUGAAUUAAUGUUCUUAUAAUUGAACAAUGUGUUGUCUCUGUUAUGUAUAAAUUCAUGCAUAAUAUUCUCUCAUUAUUUGCCCCAAAAUUAUUUCUUAACUAUCAUGUUAAAUGUUAAAUGUGUUACAUCAUUUUGUAAUACUUAUCUCUUCACAUUUGAAAUAAAUGACUCUUAAGCAUUUCUAUCCGAGUUAUUGACAUGAGAUGGAAACUAAUUCAUCAUUGUUGUUAAAUGAUUCAUAGGAAGAUUUAUGUUUGAUCAUAAAUGUUAAAUCAUGAUUGUUCAUUGAUAUGAUACAUAAAACUGUCUUAAUUUGUCAAACUUCAGAAUAAUCUGAAACGUGAAGAUUUCACUUAACUUUGAUAUGGUUUAAGAAAAUAUCAUUCAUCAAACAUGAUUUUAAAUGAAUCUUAUGUUUGAAUUUAUCAUUAGAAGAAUUUUUAUAUACUUGAUCUUCAUUAUGAUGUUGUAUGUGAUCUUGUUAUAAUCUUCAAAAAUUGCUCUAAGGUCUGCAUAUUUUGUUCUUACACUUAUAUUGGCCCUGCUUUGAGCAUAAAAUUUGUUUUAAGCAUUGUUGAAUAAUUAUCUUACUUUAAUUACAAAAAUUGAAGACAAAGAUAGAGUUGUAAACAUCAAUGGCAUGUAAAUAUGUGCUAGAUGUCAAACAUGUGCAAAAGAAUCAUAUUUAACUGCAGUUAAAAGGAUUUGUAGAUAUCUAGUAGGUACUACUGAUCUUGGCCUUUGGUAUAGAAAAGGUUCUAGCUUUGAUCUUGUAGCUUAUUGGAUGCUGAUUAUGCUGGAGACAAAAUUGAGAGGAAGAGUACAAGUGGCUCCUGUCAAUUCUUGGAACAAGCAUUGACUGGAUGGUCUUGCAGAAAGCAAAACACCAUUGCACUCUCCACAACUGAAGCUGAGUAUGAAUCUGCUGCAAGUUGUUGCUCUCAGAUUUUGUGGAUCAGAAAUCAGUUGAAAGAUUAUUCACUAAGGUACACAAAUAUUCCUAUUAUGUGUGAUAAUACUAGUGCUAUAAAUCUUUCUAAAAAUCCUAUACAACAUUCUAUGUCUAAACAUAUUGAAAUUAAACAUCAUUUCAUAAGAGACCAUGUUCAGAAAAUGGAUAUUGUAUUAAGCUUUGUUGAUACUGAAAAUCAACUAGCUGAUAUUUUUACAAAACCCCUUGUUGAGGAUAGAUUCAAUUUUCUUAAAGAAAUAUUGCAAAUCAUGAAAAAUCCCAAUAAAGAUUGAUCAUUAAUCACUAAGGGCCUUGAACUUACCCCCUUGAUGUUAUCUGAUUCACUUCAGUUAAAUCAAUCUUAAUCUGAACAAAUCAUCAGAAUGUUCAUGAGAUCAGAAUGUUCAUCAGAAUGUUCUUAUUUAUCAGAAUGUUCAGGAUCUGGAUUCUGGGUCAGAAAUCUCAAACGAAAGAUUUUGUGUUGACUUUAACCAAAAAUCUCACUAUAAUCUAAAGCAUUUAAUGUUUGGUUAUAAGAAGAUAGGUUUUAGGAUUAACCACCAUGUAAAACCUUAACCAUCAAUCAAACCAUCCAUUCACUUUUCCUCAAACGACUAGUUUCUCUCUCCUGGCCACUACUUUUCAGUUUCAUCUUUUCCAAUGCCAAAACUGUCGAGUCACUUCCUCUUUCUUCCCUCAACUGAACAUGUUUUGGUUCCUAUAAUAACCAACAACUAUUCAGAUUAUUUCCAUCACACCUCUUCUUUUCAAACCAAUUUUUUUUCUCAAAACAAAGUUCAUACUCUGUUCUUGCGAAAAAUUGCACGAACCAAAACUUCCUCACGCGUUCGUUCUCAAUCACCACCAACCGCUGCUGAUGAUCAAACCUCUGAUCAUUCUCCACUCAAUGAAACCCCUCUUCAUACAAUUCUACAAGAUGUAAUCAUCCCUGAGAUGCAUGGAGACUCUGAUAAAGAAACCAUUUCUGAAAAGAGAAAUGUUUUUGAGAAAGUUGAAGAAGAAUCCUCUGGAAAAGGAAAAGGAGUUGCAGAAGAAGGAUCAACCUCUGAGAAAACUGAGGAAACUCUCUUUGAAAUGGCCAAGGCUGCAAAGAUAGUUUACCUAAGAAGGAAGCAAAUUGCAAAAGAAGCUUUGCCUCUACCUGAAGAGAAAACCUCCUCUGAAGAUGAACAAGAAGUGGAAACAGAGGAAGAGGAAUAUGUUCCUAGGAAAAGAGGAAAAGGCAAUGACAUUGUCAUACUUGCUUCUACUUUAAAGAUUCAAAGUAUUGAAAAGAUGGCUAACAGACCCAUCAGCAGAGCUAAGUACUUUGACUUUGAAAGUCUUAAGACAAAAGGAUGGAAUAUGAAGAAGUUCACAGAUCCUCAAGACUGGUCAAGUUUUGUUUCCACUCAAUGUCAGACUUUUCCAGACUUGGUAAAGGAAUUCUAUGUCAACAUGACUGUAAAGGAACACAAUGAAGAAAAGUUCCUGGAAUCCACAGUCAAAGGAGUGAGAAUCCAAGUUUCUCAGAACCUUCUUUCAGAUAUUCUGAAAAUCCCAAAUGAAGGUAAUGAACUGUACAAUUCCUGGUUCUCUAGUGUAGGAGUAACACGAGAACAACUCUUUGAAGAGUAUAUCAAACCAAACCAUGAUAUCAAUUCCACAAAUCUUGAAGACACACCCAAGAUUCUUCACAACAUGAUCAGGCAUACUCUCCUUCCUAGAUGUGGAAGCUUUGAGGUUAUCACUGAUACUGAUCUCUGCAUCAUUUAUCACCUCAUAACCAAAACAAAGCGGAAUCUGUGUUUUGUCAUGCUCCAACACAUGAUGGAUCAAUGCUACUCCUUCAAACAGAAAGUUGCUGGGUUGCCAUAUGGGAUGCACUUGACACCCAUAUUUGAAGCUGCUGGAAUUUCUCUGGGCAAAGAAAAAGGUCAGGAUACCUUUAUGAGAUUUACAGCCAAAACCAUUAGUCAACUUCACAUCACAACUUCAAACAUGCCUAUUCCUCAAAAGACUGGAUCAGUUAAGAGACUUGCUGAUCAGAAAGUUCAGGAAGUGAGGAAGAAGCAGAAAACUGACAAGCCUGCCAAGAAGGAAAUUGGUUCAAGCUCUCAAAAUGUUGAGAAAGGAAAGGCUACUCCAGCUCUUGAAGUCUUUGCUCAUAUUGCUGAACAUGCAAGAGAGCUAAUUGAAGAAAGCCAAUAACAGUUUGAAGCUAUGCUGGGUAAGAAAGCUGCUGAGAAUGUUGGAGAAUCUGAUGCUGACCAUCAGAAUGUUGAAGACUCUUUGAAUCAAGGUGUUGAAGCACCCUCUGAAGAUGUUAGAGUUGAAGAAAAUAUUGAGCUACAAGCUCAGAAUGUUGAUACAGAUACUAGAGAAACUGCAGAAAUUCUAGUAUCCAACACCUUUGGAAGUGAAAAUCAACCAAUGGAUGUUGAAGAAGAAGUUGUGUUGGAACAAGAAAAUGUUGAAGCUCAUCCUGACUUUGAUCUCAACAUUGAAGACACUACAAAUGAUCUCUAUGAAGAGCUUUUUCAAGAUGCUCAGGGAGAAAACAUUCAGCAAGAUGAUCAGAAUGUUCAAAACAACACUGAUCAGAAUGUUCUGGAGGAUGUAGCUCAGAAUGUUCCUACUGCACCUGUUGAGUAGCUGUCAGCAGAUCCUAAUCCUUUGGGUUCAGGAUCUUUGCCUUCUGAGAAAGUUCAGCUUCUUGCUCAAACUGGUCAGAAUGUUCAGAGAGAUCAGAAUGUUCCAUCUGCUCAGAACAUGGAACAAGCUCAGUUUGUAAACUUGUCAACAUCAACAAUGGGGUCUACUGCUGGAAUAAGCAAGUAUCUGGUGUCUUCCCUGCCAACACCAAGUACCAUUCCUUCAUUCACACCACCUCCACCACAAACCAAAACAACUCAGAAUCUCCCAAACAUGUCUUCCUUGUUUGACUCUUUAAACACUUUUGUCACAGCAAACAAAAGAAAAGCUGAUGUUUCUGGUGAUGCUGCACCUGCCAAGCCUUCUAAGGCUGAGAAAAUGGUUGCAAGGGCUCUAAGAGUUGCCACUAAAACUCACAAAAUUGUGUGUGCACUUGCUAACUGGACAAGGGAUGUUCAGGCUCCUGGUUUAGCAGUGGACAAGCCUGUCUUUGUUGAUCCAACAGUUUUUGAAUCUGAACCGUCCUCAGAUUCUAGGGAUUCUACUCCAUGAAUCAUUUCUGGUCCUACUCCCUAACCUUUUUGCAGAUGACUAAAGGGGGAGAAGCUUUAGGAUUUUAUGUCUUUAAGUUCUCUAAGUUUAGGCCCUAAGUAGGCUAGUGAUCAAUAGUUAUUGAAGUCUUAUAAAACUUCAUUUUUGUUUGAUCAAACUUAGUUUAUAUGCUUUUUUUGUUUUUGAACCAUGUUCAUCAUACAAUUAGACUUCAUGAAUGAUAUUAAUGAAUGAAUAUUGAUGUUGGUUCAAAUUUGCAUAUUCUUAUUUAUGCUAUGGAUUAUAAAAAUGAGGGGGAGCUUUUUAAAACUUCUAAAAACUCAUAAUGGAUUAUAAAAAUGAGGGGGAGCAUUAAAAUAAAAUUUUCAAGCUCUAAAAAUUCUUCAUUUAUAAUCAAAAUCCAUAAUCCUAAAUCAUAAGUUUAUCAUCUUCAAAAAGGGGGAGAUUGUUGAGGCAAAAUCCCUAAUUAAUUUUAAAGAUAAUAAACUUUAAUGAUUAAGGAUUAAAUGGACUUUGAUUAAUUCCUUGGUAUUUAACUUGUGCUCUUGAGUGUUUUCACUAAGACAGGAACAAGGUUUGAAUCAUACCAAGAUGCAUAAAAUCAAAGGACAUUGAAUCCAUGAACUAAUUCUGAAGUUCAGAAAAUUAGUUCAGAAUGUUGAUCAGAACGUUCUGAUGAGAGCUCAGAAGGUUGUUCAGAAGCAACUCUGUUCAGAAGCAACUAUGUUCAGAAGCAACCCAGUUCAGAAGGUUGUUCAGAAGCAACUCUGUUCAGAAGCAACCCAGUUCAGAAGGUUGUUCAGAAGCAACUCUGUUCAGAAGCAACUAUGUUCAGAAGCAACCCAGUUCAGAAGGUUGUUCAGAAGCAACUCUGUUCAGAAGCAACCCAGUUCAGAAGGUUGUUCAGAAGCAAACAAGUUCAGAAGCAACCUAGUUCAGAAGGUUGUUCAGAAGCAACCAGUUCAGAAGCAACCUAGUUCAGAAGCAACCAAGUUCAGAAGGUUGUUCUUAUACAAGCCAAGAAUCUCAAGAACUGUGAUCAAGGUCAUGCAAGGCACAUGUGACAUGAAUAUAUGUCCAGGAAAGUACAUUUGCAUGGAUCAAUCAAGCAAUAAAGGCAUAUACAAGAGUUAUGUCAAAGAAGGCAUUCAAUGUUCAUUUAAGACUAUGAACAUUGAUGUACUAGGAAUAUUUCACAAAGGAAUAUCAUCCUAGAUGUUAUCAUCACUGCUCUUCAUUAUUGUUUCACUAUUAGGAUUUGAUUACAUCAAAUGAUAGUCUUACAAAUCAUCCUAAGUGAAACAGAUGGAACAUUCUGAUGAUCAGAAUGUUCAAGCUCAGCUCAUGCUUACUUUAUGAACAGUAUAGUAGGUGAAAAGCAAAAAGCAAAAGCAAAGCAAAUCUGUCAUCUUCAACAAGAGAUAGACACGUCUGAGAGUUGGUACUGAACAAGGACAACACAAUCUCUCAAAGCAUGGGCAUGAAGAUGCAGAAUCCCACUAAAUCCUCCUGCACCGGUUCCAAGACAAAUUCUGGGAAAGGAACAUUCUGAUGUAUGAAGAAAAGUCCAUACAUUGGUUAUUGUCCAGAAAUUCAUAUGGAAAGCAUAUGCAUAGCCCAGAACUUCAUGUGUUCAUUCAUACAUGAUGAACCCAGAUGAAGAACAUGAUGAACCCAGAUGAAGAUCAUCAUGAACACAACAACAUUCUGAUGUUCAUCAGAGAUCAGAAUGUUUGCCCAGAAUUUCAAGUUAAAGCUUGUGGGACCCAGGACACAUGGCAUAACACCAUUGGACACCCUACAACGGCUAUAUGAGCCCAAAGACUCUAUAAAUAGAGGGCUUGGCCUUAGCAAAACUCGCACCAUUGCAAAGCAUACAAGAAAACAACAAAGAUUGUUUGAAGCUCUUGCAAAUUGAAAUUGAUCAAUCUCUAAGUCCUUCAUCAACUUAGUGCAAAUCAAUACUCUUGUUAUCUGAAGGAUAACCUCUUCUUCUUCUUCCACUGUUUGUUUUACAAACAUCCAACUUCCACACAAAUUGUAACAAAGUCUCAUCUAGCUUUUAGAGGUCCUAAAGUGUUAGGUUGAGCAAAGGUUGUAAAAGUCUAAGUGGGUAACUUAGCAAGAAGAAAAGAAACAUAGUCUCAUCUAGCUUUUAGAGGUCCUAAAGUGUUAGGUUGAGCAAAGGUUGUAAAAGUCUAAGUGGGUAACUUAGCAAGAAGAAAAGAAACAAAUCUCAUCUAGCUUUAGGGGUACUAAAGUGUUAGUUUGAGAUGAGUUUGUAAAAGUCUAAGUGGUUAACUUAGCAAGAAGGUGCAAGCCUGCUGAGGCUUAGAGAAUACAGGAUUGUAAUUGUUCAGGUGAACAAAGAUUGUAUGGUGCAGGACUUGAGAGGUUAUCUCAAGCAUCAUAGUGGAAACUCUCACAAGAUUGUGAGGAGUGGACUAGCCCACAUUGGGUGAACCACUAUAAUUCUCUGUGUGUUCUUUCUCUCUUCCCUAUACUCUUUAAUUACAGUAUACACAACACACACUUACACAUUUACUUUAUUAAACUGUUUAUGUGUAUGAACUUCAGAACGUUCUGAAGUCAGAAUAUUAACUUAACUAUUCCAAGUAAACAACUUGAGAAUCACUUUUAAGUUUCAGGUUAAUUUUUAAAGGGUCACAAUUCAAACCCCCCCUUCCUUGUGACUAUUUUAUCUACUUCAGAGUUUUGUCACUGUUGUGCAGCAAGCAAACACACUACAAUUGUAAUUGUCUUCCAUUCCAAUCCUCUCAGAUCUGAAUCAAACUCUAACUCUUCUCCUCUUCUCCGAUUCUGUUUUUCUCCGAUUCAUUCAUCUCCGGUUCGAUUACUUCUCAAUUUUCAUGGAUUCUAGGAUGAUAUGAUGUUAUUGUAGCUUUUAGAACACUAAGCCUAACCCUAUUUGCGAGAUUUUCCGGCGAGAUUUUACAGUAAAAUAAUGGAUUAUGUUGCUGCCAGAAGUGGCAGCGUCGGAGAGGACGAUGUUGUUGUUGAUGCGGCGGGAGGUGGAAAGUGGGAAGAAGAGAGUGUUAAGCUGUGUGAGGAGGUGUGUGGAGUAGAAGGGGGAGGAGGACGUCGGUGGUGAGAGGGAGAGGGUUGUGGUUGCCGCUCGUGGAUGGUGGAGAGUGGUGGCGGUGAUGAUGAAUGAUGAUAACAGGAAAGAAGAAGGAAACAUGUUCUGCUUUUCAACCUUUUUUAAAACAUUUAAUCCUAGCCUUUGGUUGUAUUUUUUCCACGUGUCAGACAUCUAUAACUUAAAAUGGGAUAAAUUGAGGAAAGGUAAAUGGAGCAAAGAUGAACCCUUAUGAGUAAAUAGGCAAUUAUUCCCCGAAAUUGUAAGUUUCGUCAAUCACUCCUCUGAAAUUAACAAAACUUCAAUUACCCCCUGAAUUACACAAUGUUAAUCAAUUUACCCCCUCCGUCAAAUUCUUCUGUUAGUCAACAUGACGUUUUGCAAAUACCCCCUUGAAGUUUUGCACUUAUGUGCAAAAUGCCCCCCGAACUUAAAAAUUUAUAUUUUUUUUUCUUAUACUUGACUCAAAAGAUAUUAAAGGCAAACAAAGAAGCUUGAGAAAUGCAUUUAGGAUUCAAAGAAGAGCUUUAAGAGUUACUUGGUGAAGGGUUCCAUGGUAAAAGAGGAUUACCAAAAGUGUUUAUUGAAAAGAAAUACAUUGGUGGAGUUAAAAGAAAUUCAGAAACUUCAUGAUGACAAGAAGCUUGAGGAAUUGCUUGAUAGUUGUGAAAGGAUUAAUGACAUUAAAGGAGGUGAUGGUGGAUGUGAGGGUUGUGGUGAUAUAAAAUUUGUUCCUUGUGAAACAUGUUAUGUAAGUUGUAAAAUCUACUAUGAAGGUGAUUAUGAAGAAGAUGAUAAUUGUGAGGUUGGCGGGUGAGUGUGGAUUCCAAAGGUGUUCUCAUUGCAAUGAAAAUGACCUAAUAAUAAGAUGUUUCAUGUGUUGUUUCUAGUUCCAUAUUUCAUUUUGACAUUUAACAAUGAAAAUGGCCUAAGUUAAUUGUUAGUUGUUUGCCUUUAAUAUCUUUUGAGUCAAAGAUAAGAAAAAAAAUAUAUAAAUUUUCAAGUUUGGGGUGCAUUUUGCAUAUAAGUGCAAAAUUUCAAGGGGGUAUUUGCAAAACAUCAUGUUGACUAACAGAAGAAUUUGACGGAGGGGGUAAAUUGAUUAACGUUGUGCAAUUUCAAGGGGUAAUUGAAGUUUUGUUAAUUUUAAGGGAGUAAUUGACGAAACUUACAAUUUUAAGAGGAUAAUUGCCUAUUUAUUCAAAACAGUAUUGUAAAGGGAAAUUAUUCACACAAUAUACUUUAGGCCCUUGAAACAAUUAACAAAAUCAAUGCAUCGAUUUUAAAUACUCCUAUAAAUCAUUAAAAUAAUGAAUAUUAUCCGUUUUAUCAAUUAACCAUUGACAACCACAUUUUUCACUAUCACUUUCAACUUUAACCUCAGAUGACAUUCCGGUAAAUAAUAAAAAGCUUUUGGUCAUAUUAACCUAUGCUCCCAAGACACUGGUUAAGGAAUCUAAAAAAGGAAAUUUUAAAAUGAAAAUAACAUUUUUUUUAUGUUUUUGAGGAGUUGACAACACAAGUUUCUAGGCAAUACUUAUUACUCCAUCCGUCCCUUAAUAAAUGAUCUAGUUGACAAUAUGAAUUAUUGACUUGAUAUACUUUGACCAUACUUUUCUACUAAUUCACAUAGAUACUUAAUAUCAUGUAAGAUGUUGUUGGAUUCGUCUCGAUGAGUAUUUUUAAAAUAUUAAAUUUUUAUAAUUUUUUUUAGUAGAGAAUUGAAAAUAUCAAAGAUAAAACAUAUGUAUUGGUAUGUGUGUCAGAGUCAACUAGGUUAUUUAUUUAGGGACGGAGGGAGUACAUUUGCUUUUUUUUUUAAUAACUUGGUUCAAUAUUAUCUAUGCACGUUUUGUAAACCGGAAAAGUUAUCAGAAAACUUAUAUUAAGGUUGAUUUACUGUUUUUUAAAUAGAUAAAUAUGGGCAUGUCUUUUUUUUUUUUUGUUUUAAGGAGGAAUGGGCAUGUCUUGAUUAUGCAAUAAAGACCAAUCAUACAUAGACACAGAAAUGCAUCCACAACUACAUACAUAUAUAUUGUUUAUUCACGAGAAGUUGUGCUACACUAGAGUAGGGAGGUUGGGAUCAGAAAUAAAAUAACUGCAUCUUCCGGUCACUAAUAUAAACAAAAAUUUGAUUUUUAGAUUCAUUCAUUAAAUGAUGUAUGUAGUCUUUAUUAUAGUCUACAUACGUUAUUUAAUGAAUGAAUCUAAAAAUCAAAAUUUUAUUUAUAUUAGUAACCGAAGGGUAUACUAUAUAUGAAAAGAAUUAAAGUAAUAAGCAUAGGGGCGCAUAGUAAAAUAUUGACAUCCUUAUUAUAAGGUCGAGUUCAUUGUACAUGGUUAUUCGUUCCUUCACUAAAACAUUUAUAUUUAAAUCUAGUUUUUUUUUUUUUUUUUUUGUUAAUCUCAGUUAUUAGGGGAAAAGGGUCUCAGUAAUUGAGAAUUCGAUUAAAAGAUAAGUAAAAUCUCUGAUAAAAAAUUGUUCCAUACAAUAAUCGGACACGUAUUUUUUUAAAUGAUUCAUCUUUUCAUAGAGCUCAUUAAUAAAAAAAAAACUUAAUUGAUUGAUUAUAUUUUAACUUAGCAUAUUCUAUCUCAUGUUAUACCAUCUUUUACUGUAUCUACUUUUUAUAAAAUAUGAUGAUGAUUUUCUUCCGUGUAGGAAAAUCGAAUCAAAUAAUUUUAUUUGGCAACUGUGAUACACAGUUAUUUUAUGAUUGCACAUUCCAAAAAUAGAGCAAGGGUUUAUUCCAUCCUGAAUAAAAUGCAUAGAAAAAGAGGUGAGUAAUGUGAGAGACAAUUUCAUUAUCUAUUUCUAUCUUCUUUCUUUAUCCGAUAUUUUUUGAUAAUGGUAGUACAAUUUAAAAUUUUGCAUGGUAAUUACUAUUUUUUUAGAGGAAUACAUGACAAUUACUAUUGUCUCACAUCUUUUAAGUAAUUAAUGAUUUGUUCAGCCAAUUGAAUAAGUCUAGAUGGUAAAAAAUUGCGAAAAAUAUGAGGCCUAAGAUCACAACCUUAAUGGCCUCAUGGGUUACAUUAGGCUGCUGAUCAUAUCAGAUCAGAUGGUUGGAGUUGAUUAGAUAUGAGGGAGGAUGGCGUUGCUACUCUACUGGGGUUGAUGUACCUAUAAGACCUUCAACGUUAAGUUAGUGAGACUUUAGAGAACCAAUGGUUUGAUGGUUGAAUACCUUUUUAUAGAUGAGGUGUAGACUUUACUAUAGUCUAUAGUAUGGUGCAUUAAGUUAGUGAGGUUUAAAGACGGUUAGAAGGUUGCUCUGAUCUCGACACGAGUCACAAACCACCAUUUAAUUGUGAUGAGAAAAUAAUAAAUUUUGUACUCGCCUACUUGGAGUCUUGGACUAUGAACCUUUGCGAAUUAAGCGUUUAUAAUCCAAGACGAAAACUAAACAAGUCAAAUAAUUGAACAUGAACUAAAACUAUAUAUUCUUCAUUUACCUUUUUUUAAGGAAUAUUGUUCAUUUACUUGAAUAGUUUGACAAUUUUUGUUUUUUCAAAUCUAAAUAAUUUUUUUUAUAUAAAGAAGGACCUAAAUCCAAAAAACAAUCAACCUUGUUAAAAGCGGAGUGCCAAACCCAAAACCAUCAUUCAACAACCAAUACGAACAAUCAAGAGAAACAUUUUGAAGAUAAUCCACUUCAUCAAAGCGAAUACCUAUGAACAAUUCUUACCAAGUAAACAACAAUUUUUUAGAUACAUUGAAUAAUUAAUGUAUCUGACUUUUAUAUAGACCAGAUACAUUAAUUAUUUAAUGAAUCUAAAUAAUUAUUUUUUUAUUUAAAAUGUGUCUGGAGGGAGUAAUCAACAAUGAAAUAAGAUUGAGUAAAUAGUCAAUUUCCCCCUGAAAUUGUAAGUUUCAUCAAUUACCCCCCUGAAAUUAACAAAACUUCAAAUACCCCCCUGAAAUUUCACAACGUUAGUCAAUUUACCCCCUCCGUAAAAAUUUUCUGUUAGUGAACAUGACGUUUUGCAAAUACUCCCCCUGAAGUUUUGCACUUAUGUGCAAAAUGCCCCCCAAACUUAAAAAUUUAUAUUAUUUUUUUCUUAAAAACAAACAAUUAAUAGUUAAAUAUUAAAACUAACUAUUAAUUUUGGAAUUUGGAAAAAUUACAUGCAUAUAUACAUCAAAAUAGGCUCCAAAAUGGGGAAAAAUAUGUAUUUUUUUAAAGUGACAAUAAUGGGAUGAUUUGUGGAUUAAUAUUGGGGGUUGUGUAAUUUAAAUGGUUUGAGCAAAUUGUUGAAGGAGUUGGAGGAGUUAAAAGACUAAGAUGGUGAAGGAGAAAAUAUAAAUUUAAAUCUGAUUAUUAAUUUGUUUAUAAACUUCUAAAAAUAAUAAUUUGUCUAUUAGAAAUAACCAUUAUUGUCACUUUAAAAAUACACAUUUUUUCCUAUUUUGAUGUAUAUAUGUAUGCAGUUUUUCCAAACUUCAAAAUUAAUAGUCAGCUUUAAUAUUUAACUAUUAAUUGUUUGUUUUUAAGAAAAAAAUAAUAUAAAUUUUUAAGUUUGGGGGGCAUUUUGCACAUAAGUGCAAAACUUCAGGGGGGGUAUUUGCAAAACGUCAUGUUCACUAACAGAAAAAUUUGACGGAGGGGGUAAAUUGACUAACGUUGUGAAAUUUCAGAGGGGUAAUUGAAGUUUUGUUAAUUUCAGAGGGGUAAUUGAUGAAACUUAUAAUUUCAGGGGAGAAAUUGACUAUUUAUUCAAAUAAGAUUCCAGGUAAAUAAUUUAAACGGGUAGAAUCAUAAUCAAUAAAUGUCAUCAUAUCAUUGGCUUAAAUGUGAAUAUUCAUCAACAAUAGGGACGUAGCAUAUAAUUUUCUUUCUUUUGAUGUAUUUGAGAUCACUAGCUUAAAUGUGAAUAUAUUCAUAAUUGGAACAUGGCUUGACUCAUCAUCAAGUACAAGUAUCAACCAUAGUCCAUAAACGAUAAUUAAUCAGUCACAGCUGUGUCAAGCUACACACACAACACAAGUGCGUUACAUUUCCAACUUCACGUUCACUCUCUCACACUUCACGAAACUUCCAACUUUCCUCAACUACGUUUACUUUCCCCAAAUUUCACACAAAACAAUCCACGUGUCACACAUCCGCGUCAUCUCACAUUCAUCACAACCAUCCAUUUCAUCCUCAUAUCGAAUUCUUCACCCUAUAUAAACCCCCACCACCUUUCAUUUCUCUCUUAUCACCACCAUUUUUUCAGAUCCAACUUCAUUCAUUCGUAACUGUUUUUUCAACUCAAUUUCAGAUCCAACCAUUCAAAUUUCAAAUUCAAUCUUAUCAAUGGCAAUUCCAAGAUUCUCUCUUGUUUUUCUUCUUCUUUCUUUCUUAGUCAACAUUGCUUCUUCCGCUGAUUCUCCGGCUCCGACUCCGGCAACGAAUUCAUCGCUAAAUUCUCCUUCUCCGACUCCGAUUCCGACUCCUUCUCCGGCAAAUUCACCUCCAGCGCCAACUCCAACUCCAACUCCGUCUCCUCAUUCCGAUUCACCACCAGCACCUUCACCAGAUAAUUCUCCUUCUUCUUCUCCUUCACCUUCACCUUCAUCAUCUCCAGCGCCAUCGCCUGAUGAAGCGGCGGAUAACAACGCAAUUAGCCACACCGGAAUCGGCGAAGACGGGAAAUCGUCCGGCGG